rnacentral:lncRNA from 1 species
GGCUGCUUAUAUUCUUUUGCUGCAAAUGACUGCUUAGCUUUAGGACCAGCAUUGUCUUUGGAAGAGAGCUUUGCUUUAGUUUCAUCAUGAUUGUAGGAUGUGAGACUGGGUCUGGGUUCAAAUUCCUCAACCUCAACAAAAGGUUUUUUCACUUUUUCAUGGCAGUCGGCUUUCUCUUUUGGUGUUGAAUCAGAAAUAUCAACAAGGAGGCCUUCAAUUGCCCGUGGCAUAGGUUGCUCUUGCAUGACAUUUUUCCAGUAUUUCCCGGCAUCUCUUCUUGAAUCUGUAGUUUUGGCAAACUGUUCCACAAGACAAAGAAAAUAAAAACAAAUAAAAAGAAAUUUCUAAGGCAUUCUAAAUGAUCAUGUUGAAAUCUAUACUAUAAAUUUAGAUCACAUAUUUGACAAAAAUUCACUUCAAAUUGACAAUUUGACAAUAUAAUAUGACAUACGAAGAUAAAUGUUCUCUUACCUUGUGUGGCAAUAUAAGAUGUUUAUGUUGCUAGAAUGUGAAUAUAAACCAUUAAUCAAGUUGAUUAUUCUAGAAUGUGCGGUCUAAAUUUAUAGAAUGACAACAUAAGUUAGAGUAUGAUAAGAGAAUAUUUUCAUGCAAGCAUAAUAUAAGAUUUUUGGUUGCAUUUGUCUUGUCAGUCCUAUAUGUCUAGCAACUUCUUGGCUUUAAAAAUUGGUGACUUCAUAAGCAACAAUAGGAAGGAGUGUAUUAUACAAAUACUUACCAAAAGAAGAGAGAAAAGAGCUAAGAUAGCACAAAGGGACUUCAUGUACUCUACAAAUGAUAUGCAAAAGAGUUCUUUGUAGUUGUAUUUUUGAAGGAUAUGUAACCUCACUACUUAUAGAUAAUUUACUAGAAGGAAAGCAUCAAGGCAGGCAGGACCUAAUUAUGGGCCCUAGAUUUGUUUUUGAAGAAUGGUCCCUAUAAUUUUGAUAAUCAUACUUUGGAACAAAUCUGGGGCGGAUCUAAUUAUGGGCCCUAGAUUUUUGGCAGGUUUCUAAAGCAGGCACGCCAUGCUUUUCUAUGUAGUCUAGUCGCACAUUUUGUGUUUGUUUUUUUUUUUUUUUUAAUAUUUUUAAUACAAGCAAUAUUAAGGAAGCAAUAUUCGAGAAGGGGGGAAUUAAACUUAGAACUUCAAAUACAACGGUAAAUACUCUUAACAACUUGAAUUACAAGCAAUUAUAAGUAUCACGCAAGUAAUUAACGAAAAUUUUGACGAUGAAGUGAACGUCGGAACCAGAUUGCACAAAAUUGAAAAGCUUAGAGUAUGAAAUUUUUAAAGUUGAGAGUGCAAGGACAAACGUGCCUUAAAAAUAAAAAUUCAGGGUACUAGAUUGAAAUUAACCCUUGUAUUACAUACAUAACUAUAUCAAUCGGAUUCUCAUUUAUAUGUUUUGCUUUGUCUUAUGGGACUAUCAUUUAUGUGGUUUAUAAUUCAUAUAUAAUUGUCUUUCGCGAAGAAUGACGAAAAGAAAGCAAUGAGUACAUCAGAAUAAUGAAACGAAAUCAGGAUCAAUGAAAGAAGAUAACCUACUCUGCCUUUUUUGUCUUGUAAAGUAAGCAAUUCAAUCAAGGAUUCUCAUUUUAUAACCCAUUUCAUAAUAAAGAGAUCUCUUUAUUCAUAUACCUAUUAGCUUUUAAUUCAGUAAUAUUUCUUUUUUCUAUAGUUCAAAUCUAACUCCCCUCUUCGUUUCAUUUAAAAAAAAAAAAUCUAACCCCCUCUUCCUUCCGUUAAAAAAAUCAAUUCCUAUACUUUAAAUAUAUUAAUAAUCAUCAUUUUAGAACAACUAUAGACUGUUUACAUAAUCUAUUAAAAAUUAAUCUAAUUAAAUAAAUAAUUAUGCAAAAUACAAUGCCUAUAGCUUGUUUUCUUUUUCUUUUUAACAGAAUAACUUCAAAUCUUUGAUAUAUAUUUUUAAAACCAGUACUAUACUUCAUUAGGGGUUACGUAGAUAGCCUUUUUUUUUGUAAUUUGUUUUUAUAUGUGUGUUUCUCUCAAUUAUGAUAUACAUUUUUUAUUGAGAAAUUUUGAGAUUGCGUUCAUAAUUCAGCCAAAAAGGUCACUAGCCACAAAGGGCCAUUACAAUAACAUGGUGAUUUAACAUCAAACUCUCACAAAAAAGAGGUGGAAAACUCUCACAAAAGGAGAUGUGAAAACUACACAGAAAACCCAAAGAGUCUCUGCGACUUAAGAAACCGCAAAAACGAUAAUGGUGACAAUUUGACGGUGAAAUACAGGUGGAGUUUCAACGCCAAGACGCAUCCACCUGUGAUGGGUGGAGGAAAUUCAUAACAGAGCGAAGACGAGAAGGGGAAACUUUUUAUCACUGAAAAUGGGGGAAGAAAGGAGAAGGGAGGAAGAGAGAAGUGGAUUGGGGAGGAGGAGAGGAGAGGAGAAGAUGGGAGAAAGAAUAGUGGCUUCCUCCCCUCAAUUAUGAUAUCUAUAAUUGUUGAUUUUUUUUUUUUUUUUUUUGUGGUAUGAACGAAAACUUUAUUGAUCAAUAAUAGGAUAAAAAAGUCAGGAAACAACAUGAUUAUGCAAGAUAAAUUUCAGUCAUAACAUCGUUAUAUGAAUGACCCCAACCCUUCGACUUCUAUGUGCUCUCCAAUUUAUUUCCUAAAUUAUAAGCAAAUGAGAUAUUGUGACAAAAAAAACCUCGAAAAUGAAAAUAAUAUGAUUGGAAUCUCUAAAAUUUGUUAUAGUUUUAUAUCUGUAAGUCCAAGUAAAGAUUGUCUACUAAUAGCAUAUGCGAGUUAGGUUAAUUGACAUAGUUUAAUUAUUACAUUUAGACGAGAUCAGAGACAUAUCUAAAUAUGUGAGCCCUACAUUUUUUGAAGGUUUCUAAUAAUUAUAUCGACGAGUCCACAUACUUUAUGCAUAUGAUAAGACUGCACAUAUGUUCUUGAGCUCCAAUAAUUAUAUCGACGAGUCUUGUUUUGAUAAUUAUGAAUAUGACCCCUCAACUGAUUCUUAAUGGCAUUAAUCCAAAACUAUCCACUUCAAUGUCCACAUAUUUACCAACAAAAAUGGGGCUCUACUUGUAUCCACUUCAAUGUUCAUAUGUUUCACACAUGCAUGGGGCUCUACUUGUAUAUAAUUUCUUGUUUCUUUUGGGACCUCUAAUCUGCAAUAAGCAUUCUAUGUUUGGCAAGUGAAAACUAAUAACUUGCAUGAUUAUGGACAUAUUUUCAUUAUGAUUAGCAUCGGCCAGGAUCCUUUGCGGGUCAUUGACAAAGGAUGGUCUAUUUAUCCUAUCAUACCCCUACGUUGUACUAUAAUUCAUAUUAUGUUUAUGCGAGUUACAUUUCUUUUUGUAGCUUUCUCUUAUCUACUUCUAUACGGUUUUCAUUCUCCAAUUAAUGUAGUUUGAUAUUAUCGGAAUCUUCUAUCUUCUAGCCCACCGUUUUAAACACCAACUCUACACAACAAAAGCAGAAAUCGUUUAGUCAUUUAAUUUCUAUCAAAUAAAUAUGACAUGUAAUGUAAUAACCCAAACCUAAAUUCAUAUUUAAUUAGUAAUAUAUUAAGAAAAAAAGAUAAUUUUGCCCUUGGAAUAAUUGAGUAAAGAAAAGUUGACUUUUUGACCGAGAAGGAAUUUGACAAUUCCACAUACACCGUUACGUAAAGCACGACGAAACGAGUUCGUAGACACGAAGUGGACUCGAAUCGGAGCUUUAACGAAGGAAAUACGGUUAAAAUAUGAAGAGGGAAAAAACGGUAAUUAGGAAAAAAAAAUCAGAUUUUAAAACCCUCAUUCUCUCACUCUCUCUCUCUCUCUCUCGUUGCGACUACCCUUCCCCCAAUCGACAUUUUGUGGCGCCGUCGCCACCACGGACCACCACCGGCCACGAGACCGGUCUUGUUCGAACCGCCAUCUCCUCAUCUUCUCGUCCCACCCGGUUUUCGUCGCCGUCAUCCACUCCAGCUGUCGGAAAUUGCAGAAAUCCGAGCGGGUGUGUCCGAAACUUCACAGCCGUCGUUCUCCGUCGUCCGGCCACCAAAUCGGACUAGCCAUGUAUGGAUUUUGAACCUCUCGAGCUGUUCUAGCUGCCUGUUGGGUAAGAUUUAAUCGGUUCUCAGCGUAGAUAAUUGAUUUUCGAAUUGGAAAUUCGACUGGUUUUUGGCCUCCGAGUUUGGCCACUUCUUGUCAGUUUUUGGGGUAGGUCCAAGAAUAAAAGUGGCUCCAAAUGUGGUGUUGUACCUAGGGUAGGAGUUUGGAGCCGUUGUUUUGAGAUUUUCCAGCGAUACGUAAUCGCUUUGGACACCCAGUGCUUCCGGCGCGUGCGGCGGUGCGUGUGCGAGGGUAGUGAAGUGACACUCUAUCUUGAUGAGAUCCUUAGGUUGUCACGAGCGCGUAGGAAUUCGCGGAUCUCAAUUUGGAUACCGUUUGAGCCUCGAACGAAUUUUACAUAUUGUACGAUUUCCGGGUUCAAUACUGUUGAGCCGUUGCAUCGUAAUCAAUUUUAGAUAUGUUACUCUAAAUAAUUUCACAUUCGUGUAAUAUUCGACGGAUCGUGAAUCGGAGUCCCGGAUACUCCGAAAUCGCGAACCCUAGGGUUAUGGUUUAGAAAUUAUGCAAUUGUACAAUCGUGACCAAUCUGACCAUCCGAUCGAGAUCAAACCCUCGGGACAUGUGUCCUAGACAUAUUGAAACUUCUUGAGGCUUCCGGAUCAUACUUGCGAGGUCAUGGACCCGACGGGUCCCGGGUUGACUUUUUAGGACUUUAGUACUUUUUGAGUCCCAAGAUACUGCUAAACUAUUCCAAGCUUUUAUGGGCAUACGAAUAACUUUAAUUUGACUCACGUACUUCUAAGAGCCGGGGGUCAGGAUUUUAAAUUCAUACUAGAUUGUAUUAAUCGAAUAUUAUGGUCAUUGAAUCAGGCACCCGGGCACCAGUUGACCCGCAGGAGGGACCUUCAAGAGGUCCAGCGAGCUCGGACUACCAGUGAGUGGACUCUUUGUUUUUAUAAAUGAAUUUAAGCAGUUUAAUUUCAGUUACAGUAUUUGAUCUUGAAUAAAUUUUAUUCAAAGAUUAGUGUUACAAGCUGUUUUAUGUUUUUGAAUAUUUGGUUUGCAUGCUGCCGAGUGGAAUACCUUUUACAGGAUAUAAGAAAAGAAAUUCUAGUUAAUUAUCAGAUAAAUGGCAGCAGAAUUUUAAAGGUUACAGGAAUUCAGUUAUCCAACAGAUUUUCUUCAGAAAUUUUAUAUUUUCCUAAAUCACCUUGUACUCAGAUAUUAAAUGUUGCCUUCGGAUUAUAUUGGUUGCCUUCGGUUUAGUCAGCAUGCUUGACAGUUGCCCCACGAGUUCUUUGGUACUCGAACUCGUGUGGAGUGAGUAAUGCGGAUCAGGUGGACUAUGGUUCCCUGAAUCCUGCGAGUUGCGGCUCGGAUUGACCUCAUGUUACUGAGACCUGCGAGUCUGUGUCAGCCAGGGUGAUGCAAGGAAUUGACGAAUAUAAGGAAUUGACGAAAAUAAAGGGUACAUCUAGGUGGUAGUUUUAAACUGUUUUCAAUGCCUUAAGAAAUUGAUGUUGACCAUGAGUAUACUUGGCUUAUAUACAUGUAUAAUUAUCUGAGUGCAUUGAUUUCAGUCAUAAAGAGAAUAAUUUAGUUUGUAUAACUAUUUUUACAGUGGGGUUAGUAUGUUCUUAUGCUAUUUUCUAAACUUUGUUUUUGGGUCUACUCACCCUUUUUAAUGUUUUGCGCCCCCAGGCAGUAGGCGUGCACAGUGAUCCACCACCGGGCCGUUUUCCAUCUUCUGCGCCUUUCUUUUGAUGUAGGACUUUUUGUUUUGUAAAAAGAUUGACUCAUUUGUAAAUUCUUAGUAACCGCUCUGAUGUUUUGCCCUAGACUUAGAAUUGAACUGUUGGAAUGUAUAUAUAUGUAUGCUGGCAGUUGGUUGUAUAUAUAUAUACUUGUUUGGUAGGUGUAAAUAUUUUGGUAUUAAGCCAGUUACAAGGGAAACUCUGCCGAUUUUAAGGUAGCAGUCAACCUUGUUAUUUUAUCGUGCUUUGCAUAGAAGGGCAAUUAGGUCAUUUGUGCCCGACAUCCGCCAGAUGUCGGACACGCACAGGAUCCGGCUCGGAUUCCAAAGCGGAAUUUGGAUCGGGUCCUGUCAUGUAAUGUUUUGAUUAAACACUCAGUUAUCAUGUUUUUAAAUAAAUGACUAACCGAUGUCCUGUUUGGUUUGUUUGUUUUUUUUUGGUAGGAAUGAUUCACUACAAAAAAAAGUGGCAACAGCCACCAUUUUGUCACAAAUUUUAGUGACUAUUGUGGGGGUUACUAAAUGCUUUAGUCAGGGGUGGAGCCACAUUGGGACCAGUGUGGUCCCGGGCUCCCACUCAAGUUUUUAUAUAUUUUAAAAGUAAUAUACUGUUAUGUAUUUGUAUAUGUAUAUUAUUUCAAAUACUUUAUGUUUUGAUAUGUACCCACAUGUGUUGUGGCGGACUUAUUAAGGCACAAGGAGGUAGUUCAAAUUGCGCCAUUGCUCAGCUAGUGGUGGUGCACUCCAAGUGUACAAAUUACCUUAUUUCCAUUUUCAACAUUUAAGUAAAUAUUUUUGUCCUUUGACUUUAAUUUAUUUUUAUAUUACUCAAUUUACUUAAGUUUACAAUGUAAAUAAGGAAGUACCCUCUUAUUUGGAUUCAAAUAAAAAUACUAGAAAAUUAAAUUCCUACCAAAUCAAAAUAUGAAAAAUCGAUUUUAGUGUAAAAUACGAUUUAGGCUAAAAAUGAUGGCUCAUUAAGUCAAUAUAUACUUCAUACUAAAAUCCCAUAAAAUCAAGUUUUCUUAUUUGAUGUGUAAGGAAUAAAAGCCGCCAAAAAUUGUCUUGAGAAAAUGAUUAUUCCGAAAAACCAUUUGUCAUAUUUAGUCAAUAUUUUUUCACGUAUGAUAUGAAUGCAUGAAGGGGCCUAAGAUUGUUUUUAAUUUGGGAAAUUUUAAUUUCUUUUCUUCUUUCUAUUGGGUUUAAUGGGGGAAAAAGCUUUAAAGAUAUUUGCUAAAUCACUACUCUUUGUCUAUCUAGUAACACCCCGAGUCCAAAUUUAAUUACCCAUUUAAAUUAUUUAAUAGAAAUAACGAAUUUACCCUCCAAGUAGGGGUAAUUUAGUCAUUUCUUAUCUGGAAGGAUUUUGGGACAACGAGUGGUAUGGUUACGUAGGUCGUACUAAGAUGAGUCCGUAAACACGUAGUGGGCUCAAAUAGGAGUUGUAACGAAGAAGUUACGAGCAAAACAUCACCAGUGGCAAAAUCGUAAAUAUUUCAAAAUAGGUUUUUAAUAAAAAAAAAAACCUGAAAACACACACACACACACACACACACACACACUCUCUCUCUCUCUCUCUCUCUCUCUCUCUCUCUCUCUCUCUCUCUCUCUCUCUCUCUCUCCUGGCUGGGCUCGCACAGAACCCUUCCUCAUCCCGAUUUUUGAACAACCAAGCGACUCUUGGAGUCGUCGCCGUCGCCGUGGUCCACCAUCGGUGAGUCCUUGCCACCCUAACCCACCCAAUCUCCGCUGUCAACAGCCCGUGCAGCCGCCGAAUUUUGCAAAAAUCCAGCCGAAUUUCGAGCUGUUUUCCUUCGAUCGUGUCGGACACCUCCGGCCACCAUUCCAGGCAAUUAAGGUAUGAAUUUUUUGACUAUUUUUCAUGCUCUAGCUGAUGGUUGGGUAGGAUUUCAUCAAUGUUGAGCUUAGGUAGUUUGAUUUUCAAAUUGAAAUUCUGCCGAUUUUGGGUUUGCAUUUUCGGCCGUUCCGGUCAGUUUUUGGGGUAGGUCCAAGAACAAAAGUUGUUCCAAAUAGAGUGUUAUACCUAGGGUAGGAACCUUCAGCCUUGGUUUUGAGAUUUUCCGGCGAUGCGUAACCGCUUUGGACACCCACGCGCUGCCGGCGCGUGUGGCGGUGUAUGGGCACUGUAGAAAUGGGGCAUUAUGUCCCGAUGCAAUCAUCUUGUUGUCUUGAGCGCGUAGGUGUGCUCAGAUUUCAAUUUGGAUACCUUUUGAGUCUCGAACGGAUAUCACAUAUUGUGCAUUAUGCGGGUUUGAUAGGUUUAAACCGUUGGAUAGUCUUAGAUUUAUAAUAUGUUAAUCUAGACAUUCUUAGAAUCGUAUGGGAUUCAACGGAUCGUAAAACGGAAUCCUGGAUACUCCGGAAAUGCCAACCCUAGGGCUAGGUUCCUAGUAACCGUCCGAUCGUACGAUCGUGAGCAUUCCGACUGUCCGAUCCGGACCAAACUUGCGAGAUGUGUAUCCUAAAUAUUGUGGAACCUAUAGGAACUUUCGGAUCGAAAUAUGGAGGUCGUGGGCCCCAUGGGCCCGUUUGACCAGGUUGGGGUAGUUGGACCCCUCGGUUGACCGUGAGUCUUUUGAGGUAGUUUCACCCUUCGGAAGGUAUUAGGAUAACCUUUUUAUCGAAUCUUCAUUGUUAUUUGAGGUUAAAUUGGAAAUUGAUUCGAUUUAGGAUUUUCCUUAGAGAUUGUUUCUUAUCAUUAAUUAAUAUUAAUUGAUUAUAAAUAAAGUAUAAUGUUCUAGUUGUGUGAUACAAUAUUUUAUGGAAUUUGUGUGAAAACAAGCGUUGAAUAAUAUUUAAAUUGUUCUAGGAUCUUUAUGAAAUUUAUGUUUAUAUGCAUGAUCGUUGGUCUAAAAAAAAUAUUAUUUUCAUGAUUAAAUUACGUUGCGGUCUAUUAUAGACUGGUAUCACUAAAUUGGGAUUACCUCUAUUACUAGUUUAGAUAAUUAAGAGUGUGUCAGUUUGAAGUGCUAUAUGCACUACCCUAAGUACCAUCCUGUGAUUGUUAGGUUCCGCGUGGCAUAGGUUAUCCGGUCUGUGGAUAGACCCCAUAAGUGGCGUUGGAAUUUCCGGCGUGAUAACAGACCCUAUACGUGGCGUUGGAAUUUCCGGCGUAUGGGGAGAUUAUGUGAUUGUUAGGUCUCGCGUGGCGUAGGAUUUUUUGGUGUUGAGACAGACCCUAUACGUGGUGUUGGAAUUUCCGGCGUAUGGGGAGAAUAUGUGAUUGUCAGGUCACCCGUGGAGUAGGAUUUUUCGGCAGGAUGACAGACCCCAUACGUGGCAUUGGAAUUUCCGGCGUAUGGGGAGAUGAUGUUAUGAUGGUUAGGUCACACGUGGCGUAGGAUUUUCUAGCGUGAUGACAGACCCCAUACGUGGUGUUGGAAUUUGCGGCGUAUGAGGAGAUUAUGUGAUUGUUAGGUCUCGCGUGACGUAGGAUUUUCUGGCGUUGAGACAGACCCCAUACGUGGCGUUGGAAUUUUCGAUGUAUGGGGAGAUUAUGUGAUUGUUAGGUCACUCGUGGCGUAGGAUUUUCCGGCGGGAUGACAGACCCAAUACGUGGCGUUGAAAUUUUCGGCGUAUGUGGAGAUGAUAUUAUGAUGGUUAGGUCACACGUGACGUAGGAUUUUCCGGGGUGAUGACAGACCCCAUACGUAGCGUUGGAAUUUCCGGCGUAUGAGAAGAUUAUGUGAUUGUUAGGUCUCGCGUGGUGUAGGAUUUUCCUGCUCCGAGACAGACCCCAUAUGUGACGUUGGAAUUUCUGGCGUAUGGGGAAAUUAUAUGAUUGUUAGGUCACACGUGGCGUAGGAUUUUCCGGCAUGAUGACAGACCCCAUACGUGGCGUUGGAAUUUCCGGCGUAUGAGGAGAUUAUGUGAUUAUUAGGGAGAUGAAGUAAGGGUUGUUAUACCAUAUUGGGAAGAAUUACGUGUGGCUUGAUCCCUCAGCGAGAGUACAUAGGCAGCUUAGGGUUACUAGGUGCAGCCGCAGACAUAGAUGUGAUUGUGUUAGGAGGUUAAAACCUCGUAUGUUGGAAUUUUAAAGGUAGAUGAUGUAAGUUGUGUUUAGUAUUCAUAAUUCAUAUCUGAGUUUAUUAUUUGCCUUGCUGAAGGCAAUAUUUGGCUUAAGGGUUUUGUGGGUUGUUUGGUUUCACUUCGGUUUUUGUGAGGGCUGAAGGCCGAGUUUGUGAAUUGCACGAAAUUAUAUUGUGCGUGCUACCUAUUGGGAUAUUAAAUGUGUUUUUGUGCAGGUUGAAAUUUGGGGAAAGUUCAAUUUACAAAGGAGACUCUGCCGAAAUUUCGGUAAAAAGUCUCGUGCCCUUAUUCCUUUUUGGGAAAAAGGAUAUAGUUUUAGAAAUGGGCCCGACAUCGGGGUGAUGUCAGGAAUUUCCACAUGAUUCGUCUGGGGUUUCGAAAAAUUCGGGGCGGGUCCUGUCAUAUCUCUUGCAAUUUUUCUUGCUUAGAAUGUAUUUGUCUAUUCCUUUGUCGAGAACAAUUAUGAUUGCAACCAAUAAGCAAUAUAAUUCUUGACAUAUGUGAUAUAUAUACACUAGUUUUUGUAUGUAUUGUGAGUUCGAAUUUUUGAUUCUUUAUAAUUUGUAAGGGGCCCCCACACACAUGAAAUUCUGGCUUCGCCACUGGCUUUAGUCACCUUUUUUGACUUUUUUGGUGACUAAAAAGGCUUUCAGUCACCUUUUUUGCUUUUUUUAGUGGCUAACGCAUUUAGUAACCCCCACAACAGUCACCAAAAUUGGUGACAAAAUGAUAACUAUUGCAACUUUUUUUUGUAGUGAUUGUACAAAUGCUAUGCGAAAAGAGCUAAGAUAGCACAAAGGGACUUCAUGUCUACAAAUGCUAUGCAAAAGAGUUCUUUGUAGUUGUCUUUUUGAAGGAUAUGUAACCUCACUACUUUUAGAUAAUUUACUACAACGAAAGCAUCAAGGCAGGCAGGACAAUGGUCCCUAUAAUUUUGAUAAGGGUUAAAUGUUAAAAUGGUCUUUAUGUUAUAGUCAUUUGGCAAAUUUAGUCCAUGUGUUUUUAAUUUGGCCAAUUUAGUCCAUGUGUUUUACUCCGCUAGCCAAUAUUGUCCAUUCCGUCAAAUUAUCAUUAAAAAAUUCACUGAAAUUUUUAUAAGUAAUAAAAAAAAUUAUUAGGUGCAAUUUACAAAAUUAAAAAAAAUCUGAAUACAAAUAUAAAAAAAUCUGGAAACCUAACAACCUCUAUGCCCUUCUUCUCUCAUGCCGUCACCACGACCACACCCAUCACCGCAGCCACCAUGAGCCGUCCCAACCACCACCUACUCUCUCUCUCUCUCUCUCUCUCUCUCUCUCUGUGAUGGGUGCUUAAGCUGCAUCAUCAUAGAAAGACAAGACGAAUUAAGUUCAAAGUCAUACCAGAACAAAUGGAUAUAAAUUGUAAAGUUAUUAAAAGAGAAUCAUACAUACCAUCCAAGGGCAGUAAGCAUUAUCAACAUCAUCUCAAACAACCUCAACAUUGAAAUCCUUAUUGAGCUUCUUCUAGGGAGUGAAGAUGAUUUCAUGGCAUCAAGCCAACAGUUGGACUAAUAACAUCAUCGAGCUUUCCUUGCUUUUUCCUGGGGAUGUAUCUGUACUUGCCAGAGAGAAUGAUGCUCCUUGCUGUGAGUACGGCAACAAACUAGAAUGGAGGCCUAGUCUUGAUUUAGUUCUCAGGUGCAGGCGGCAUGAGAGAAGGACAUAAAGGCUGUUGGGUUUCCAGAUUUUUUAUUUUGUAAUUAUAUUUAAUUUUGUUAUUUGUGUUCAUAAUUUUUAUUUAUUUGUAAACUAAACUCAAUAAUUUUUUAUUAAAUUUUAAAGCUUUAAUGAAUGUACAACUUUUAAACUCUCACAAAUAAACCAUAGUGCCAAAAAACCCUAGCCCCCUUUCUCCCAAAAAACACUCUUAGAGCUUUUUCCACCUUGAGGGGGGAAGAAGCCAUUGUUCUUCCCCCCUCUCCUCUCUUCUCUUCCUCUCUUCCUCCUUUCACCUCUUCCCCCAUUUUCAAAGACAAAGGGUUUUCCCUAUUUGUCUUAGUUUUGUUAUGAUUUUCAUCCAACCAUUAUUGGCGGUUGCGGCUCAGUGUCGGAUCUUCACCUCAUUUCGGCGUCAGAUCUCUACCACAAUCUUUUUUGCAAUUUCUUUAUGUUUGGAAUAAGUUGCAGAGACUCUUUGGGUUCUCUGUGUAGUUUUCACCUCUCCUUUUGUGAGAGUUUUUCAUCUCUCCUUUGUGAGAGCUUUUCAUCUCUCCUUGGUGAGAGUUUUAUUUGUAUUGUUAUGGCUUGGUUUUUUCAAGCUUUAUCUCUUUUUUAUUAUUCUAAGUUUGCAAUCUUAGUUGGGAUGCCUAUGCCAGAGUUUCUUCGAUCUUGCCUGAUCGUUGAUGGAGACAUACCUGAUUUUCUUAAUUUUGAUAUUAGACCGCUCCGUUAUUGUAAUGGCCCUUUUGUGGCUAGUUUGUAUUGGCCCUUUGUGGCUAGUGGCUUUUUUGGCUGAAUUAUAAAUGCAAUCAUAGAAUUUCUCGAAAAAAAAAAAAAAAACUUUAAUGAAUGUUUUAAGUUAAUUUGACGGAAUGGACAACAUUGACUAAUGGAAUAGAACACAGGGAUUAAAUUGGUCAAAUUAAAAACACGAGGAUUAAAUUGGCCAAAUAAGUAAAACAGAAGGACCAUUUUAACAUUUAAGCCUUUUGAUAAUCAUACUUUGGAACAAAGCUGGGGCGGAUCUAAUUAUGGGCCCUAGAUUUUUGGAAGGUUUCUAAAGUAGGUAUGCCAUGCUUUUCUAUGUAGUCUAGCUGGGGCGGAUAUAAUUAUGCACCUGUUUGUAUUUGUGUGUGUUUUUUUUUAACAAUUAUUUUUUAUUCAAGCAUCUUCUGCUAAUUAAAUAUGGACCCUAUAUUUAUGGAAGAUUUCUAAAAUAGAUAUGAUUUUUUUAUAUUAAUAAAUCUAUGUGAUAUGAUUCCACAUAUGUUCUUGGGCUCCAAUAAUUUUCUGAUAAUAAUAAUGAAGAUGACCCUCUGUUUAUUCCAAAACUAUCCACUUCAAUGUCCACAUAUACCACCAAAAAUGUUCAUACAUAUGAUAAGCAUUCUAUAUUUGACAAGUGACUUGCAUGAUUAUGGACAUAUUUUCAUUGUGAUUAGCAUAAGGUAAGAUCCUUUGAGCGAGGGUCAUUGUUUGCAAAGGAUUUGGUCUGUUUAUCCUAUCAUAACUCUUAUGUUGUACCAUUGUCGUUUGAUAACCAGAAUUUUCUAUCUUUUAAGCCAUCGUUUAAACUCCAAAAAUAUAAACGAAAGCGGAAAUUAUUUAGUCAUCUAAUUAGUAUCAAAUAAAUAGACAAAUUUAAUGUUUUGAUUAAACAAUGAAUUAUCAUGCUUUAAUUAAAUGACUAACCGAUAUCUAGUUUGGUUGAAUUUUUUUAUUUUUUAUUUUGUAGGAAUGAUUGUUGAAUGAUGAUUUAGAAAAUUAAUUUAAUUAAAGAAAUAAUUGUGGAAAUACUAUAACUAGAAAUAUUUGUUCUUCAUUAUAACAAAAUGAUAUGAAUUUUGUUCCACCCCUAUGGCCUAGGGCAAGGGCAAUUACUAUUCACAUGAGAUAUGAGGAGAUGAAUUUCUAUAGAGUUUUUGGUGUGGGAAAUAAAGAAUAUGGCUAGAUAUUUAUAAAAAUAAAUAAAAUCUGAAAUUCUUGGUAUUUUUUUCAAAAAAAUUUUCAAUUUUGUUUGGUUGGUGUCAACAGUCUUCGAGCAACAACCUAGGCGACUCGUGCCCGUGGGACCCACCCCUUGCCCGGGCUGGACUUGGCUCGCUGGAGCUGCAAUUUGGCCCUUGAGCCCCCUCCUGCCCGGGUAUGCCCUGUGCGGUGGACUUGCCCUUAAAGUUUAGUUUUUCCUUGGGAAAUAAUUUCUUUGAGAAAUAGCUUUUAUAUGUCUAGAUAGUCAAAGAUUCGAACUUUAUAUAUCUUUGUGGUGGCUCUUUCAAAAUUACCAGAUGAACAAAAUGGCAAGGACUUUUAACAAGGGAAGAAACAUGGCUUCAGGACUUGCUCUCUGGAGCCGCUUACUUCAUCUACUUGUGCUUGUUAUGGUAACUUCAAUUUAUUCCCACUCUUCAUAUUCUUAUAAUUUAAUUGAGGGAAAUUUGAUGAUGCUGCAGCAUAGGAAUCUCUUGUUCUAAUAACUGUUAGUUUUCCUUUAAAUUUAUGCUGUUUUUUCCUUCUUUUUUUUUUGGUUUCUGCUUAAAUAUUGUGCAGUGUGUUCAAGGAACUGGAGGCAGGAAGAUGAGUGAAACACAAGAUGGUGAUGGCCAUGAAACAACACAUACAGAGCAUGCUCGUGCUCAUCAUCCAUCAUCCCACAUACAUCAUCACAUGGACCCUUCAUUUAUGAUUUUCUUUACCUUGGAGGACCUAAAGGAGGGCAAAACCAUGGCCAUCUAUUUUCCCAAAAGAAACCCUUCAAAAUCUCCGCACUUGUUACCAAGAGAAGAAGCUGAUCAAAUUCCUUUCUCAUCAAAACAUCUCCUCCACCUCCUUCACUUCUUCUCCUUCUCUCAAGACUCUCCCCAAGCCAAGGCCAUGGAAGACACUCUCAGGCAGUGUGAGAUUGAACCCAUCAAGGGAGAGAUCAAGUCCUGUUCUACAUCCCUAGAAUCCAUGCUCGACUUCACACGUGGUGUCUUCAGAUUGGACACCCCCUUCAGUGUUGUGGCCACAACCCAUCUCACAAAUUCAACUACCAAUUUCCAGAACUACACUAUUUUGGAAGAGCCCAAGGAGAUUUUGGCUCCCAAGAUGGUGGCUUGCCACACCAUGCCUUACCCUUACGCAGUUUUCUACUGCCACAGCCAGAAAAGUGUGAACAAGGUUUUCAAGGUUUUGUUGGGUGGUGAGGAUGGAGAUAGGGUAGAAGCUGUUGCUGUUUGUCACUUGGACACCUCUCAAUGGAGCCCUAAUCAUGCAUCUUCAGUGUGCUUAGGACUAAGCCAGGGGCUUCUGCUGUGUGUCAUUUCUUUCCUGCUGAUAAUCUUGUGUGGGUUCCAGCAUCCACUUCAAUGUAGUAAUUUUAAUGCAGGGCCAGUUUGAACAUAAUAUAAAAGGUCGAGCUUCUUCGGAAGCUUUUGAUUUUCCCACUGAAAUUCCUGGAACUGAAGUUUUAAUGACCAGAUUGUUGAUUCUUGAAGAAAAAAAUAAUAUCAUAAAAGAAAUAUUAAUCAACCAAACAGGUUUACAAAAGGCUGCAAAUUAGCUGUCUGAUUAGGCUAUAAAUUCUUAUGUAUACAAUUUUGAAAAUAGAAAAAGAUUCCUCAAUGGAAUAUGAAACGACUUAAAAAAUUUCUAUGCAUGAAGCAACAGAAACCUUGGUGAGUAAUUUGAGAUAUAAAUUUCUACGCGUGAGGCAUCAGAAACCUUGGUGAGCAAUCUGAGUUGAGUCCUAUCUGUUCAGUAUCAGUAUACAUGUCCUUGUAGCUCAAGUAAUUAACAUCAUAUUUACUCUUAUGUUCCGAAUAAUUAAGAUCAUAUUUAGUCUUAAGUUCGAUUCAUUCUUCAAUAAAAAAAAAGUUUGAUUCCUUUGAACACGGACAAUUAUAACUCAAGUGAUUAUAAACAUUUACUCUUAUAAUUAUCCGUUUGAUUCCUCUCUUUUCAUAAUGAUCGCAUUCACCUUUUUCCUAAUAUCGUUUGAUAAUAAAAUAAAAUAAAAAAAAGCUUGUGCGAUUUCAGUGUGGUGGUACAAUAUACUGUACAAGGCCUUCUGUUAUGUACUGUACUGUUGUUCGACUACAUGCCGGCAGCAAAGGCUAUUAAUGAAGCUAUUUAGCUUCAAGUGUUGCUUGAUGACUUGGUGGUUUUACAGGACCAUAUGGGCGUUCUUAGACCAAGGCAAGAGGUAGAAAAGAAAUCACUUUUGAGACACCGAAAUAUCAUAUAUGUGAAGAUGAGUUAACUUUUCAUUUUUGAGUUAAAUCCCCUUUCGGAGAACAAGUUGUAUUUGUAAUUUUCAUAGAUGGAGCAUCCAAACAAAACCCUGAAUAAGAAUCAAGUUUGUUUUAUUUUAUUUUAUUACAUUGAAGGAAAGACGAAACCCCACUAGGGUUCGAUCCUGGAUGCCACGAAGGGAAGGGAGAAUCCACCACCACUGUUGUAAGAACCUAUUGGCCAAGUUUAUAUAUCUUCGGUGCCAUCUGUUUGAUAUACACAUUAAUUUUUCUUUUGGAGUUCCCCAUUUUUUAUUUUUUCUCAAAGACUAAUUGGCUACAAAAAGUAACCAAAAUCACAUUCAUAGCCAAAGCUAUUAUUAAUUCAGGAUUCCAAAUUACAUUCCUGACCUAGCUUAGACACAUAAACACCAAACCGUAUAUAUCUUACGUUCAUAAAACAUAGGCUACUUCAGAGCCAACUUAUUUAUUUUUGUUACAUAGAACAAAGGGUCCAAGGUUUCAACUCCACCUUUAGAUUCGGGGGUAAAUGCUCUCUAACACUAGAGCUUAGUACAAGCUUAUUUUAUUUUUAAAUAGCACCAACUCACACUUGAUGUUCUAUUAGUUAUUGUAAAAAUAAAUAUAUAUUUCCUUGGAUCAAAGUCUUCAUCAAAUGACUGCUUAUUUUCUUUGGACUCAAGUGGCUGCUUGUCAGGGUAAGCCUGGGACUUUGGCUUAGAGUCUUUGGCAGAGAACUCUGCUUUGCCUUCUUCAUCAUUGUAAGCUGAGAUAAACGGUCUGGGUUCAAAUUCCAUAGUCUCAACAACAGGUUUUUCUGUAUUUUCAUGGCAGUUGGCUUCUUCUUUUGGUGUUGAAUCAGAAUGUUCAACAAGGAGGCCUGGCAUAAGGGGUUGCUCUUUCCUGAUAUAUUCCCAGUCAAUUCCUGCACCUCCUCUUGAUUCUAUAGUUUUAGCAAACUGCUCCACAAGACAGAAAAGCAACAAACGUCAAGUUUACCAAAGUUUCCAAGGUGUACGUUUCAAAUCAUAUUGUAGGUAUUGUUAAGUUGUCAGAUUGUUAAUUUCGACCGCACUUCUAAACAAAAUAAAUAGUUAAAAUUGAUAACUUAAUUAACAAUAUAAUAUAUCAGAUUUUCUAAUAAGAGAACAUUUUCGUGGAAUUAUAAGAUUUUAGUGCCGUUUUGUCAUUAUCAAGUUGUUGACUUGAAAUUGAUCACAGAUUAUAAGCAACAAGAGGGAAAGGAGGAUACAAAUGCUUACCAAAAGAAGAGAGAAGAGUGCUAAGGUGGCACAAAGGAACUUCAUGUCUAAAAUGCAAUGCAAAAGAGUUCCUUGUAGUUGUGCGUUUAAGGAUAUGUAAUUAACCUCAUAUUACUUAUAGAUAAUCUACCAGGAGAAUAUUUGUCUUCAAAGGCAUCAAGGCAGGACACUAGAGUCAUGUUGGGUUUGGCGAUGAAUAAGAUGCAAGACGUAUGCAAGGACAACGAUGAUGAUUAUAAUAAAUACUAUGGUACCAAUCGCAAUCAGGUAAAACUAGGGUAUUUGUUUUGAUUAUUAGAAGAAAUCAAUGGCGGAUCUAGCAAGCGUUUUUUGAAGACGUACAAAAAAAUUUUGGAUUUUUAACAAAAAUUUGGACGCUCUUCAAAUAAAGGCGCUUAUGAGCUGAAAACAGGCCCUAACUAGCUACAUUUAAGUAAAGUAAAUUAAUUAAUCGCAUUAUGAUGACUAUAAACAAAUAAAUUUCUUUGUAGUUUCCUAUUUAUUAUUCUUAAAGUUUAACGCUACAAAUACAUGACAACAAAGUAGUGGAGACUAUUGCAAAAACCACAUUCAUGGUGGCCAAAGCAUUCCUUUUAUUAACUUAGAAUUGAAAAUUACAUUCAUGACCUAGCUAAAACUGAGUUCACAAUUCACUGUUCCUAGAGAGUAGCUUAGGAAUAGGGAAUUGUCGAUUUUGUCCUUUACUGAAUUUUUCCUUAUGUUCCCUUUUUGCCCCUUCUCAUUCGCAUCUCUUUUGAUUCGAACGUUUCGUUCGGUCAGAGCUUUCCAGUCCGUUUCGAACCAGUUGGUUGGGGUGGUUGGGGGCAGCCAUGGAAGAUCAGAGUUCAUUGUUCUGCAUGCGUCGGGGGUCGUCGAUUUUCGUUUGGGGAGGCGCGCUGCAAAUCCAACCGCCCUUUUGGUCUUUAUCUCAUCGGUUUUCCUCUCAGAUGUUGCGUUCGUUUGUUGCCGUUCUAGCUGCGCUUCAUUCUUCUUCUCAUCGCACGGGUUUAGCUCAAAGGAUUUCUAGGUUUCGUAAAAUAAAGGUUGGUUUUAACGUUUUUUUGGUUUUCUAAGUUGGUUUAUUCAUUUUUCAUGUCGAAAAUUGAGAAGUAAAUCAAAAAUUGAGUUUGGUUUGUUGUUACAGGGAGGAAGAUCUAAGGAAAAAAAACUGGAGUAAUCAAUAUGAAAACCCCCAGUCUGCUCAGCAAUCUGGUAAUUGAUGUCUGUGUGGCUGAUAUUCUAUUUGCAUGUGGUUAUAGACUCCUCUUUUUUUUUAAAAAAAAUUUAUUUUUAUGACUCAGAUCAAAAUUAUAAUUCUAAUAGAUGUUAUAGAUUUUCUGUUUGCGUGUGGUUAUAGAUUUUCUGUGUGGCUGAAUUUUUUUUUUUUUUCUGCUUGUACUUAUCUUGAUUGUUUUCCAAUUAAUUGUUUCAGCAGAGAUCAAUUCAACAGUACUCUGAUAUAUAUAUUUAUUUAUUUUUUUUUGAUGUUCAACUACGAGUUUGUCAUACAUAUGUGUGUUUAAUGUCAUGAAGAGGUCUUUGCAAGAUUUUGUACUUAUUUGUUGAAUGUUAUGUUUUUUCUCUCGCUUGGCCUCUCCGAUAUCACUCUUUCCUCCAUCACGUCAUUUCCUUUAGUUGUUAAAUUUUCUGCUUUUAGUGAAUUUGAGGGGUAUAAAUGGAAGUGGAGGGAAUUGGGUUCGAUUGUGUGAGUGAAAUUAUGCAUCUUUGUGUGUUAUUUCAGUCCAAGUUUGUACCUUUGUAUAUAUGAGUGUGUUGUUCUGUUUUGAUAAAUGGAAAGGCAGCUGUGAUUGGGUUUCUAUUGUUGUUAGAUUUUGAAAUUUUGACUGGUAAAGGUAUUCUCAAGGGAACUGACUUUUUGGACUGUAUUUGCUCUGUUUCAAAUGCUUUGCAGUAAAUAUUUCUCUCCGUACAGAUUUUGCAAUAAAUAUUUCUCUCCGUACAGAUUUUGCAGUAAAUAUUUCUCUCCAUACAGAUUUUGCUAUGUUUUAAAUGCAUAUGCUUUGUAAUUGAAUCAUGAGAGCAAUGUUGAAUGAGGGGAUCCGUACAGAGUGGUUUCUUUCCUUACAGAUUUUGCUCUAGCUAAUUUUUUUGGUUUAAUGAAAAGAUUGUGCAUGUAUAAAAUACUCGAGCUAAUUUCUUCUCCGAUUUUUCUGUUUUUUUCUUCCUUUUUCUUCUUCUUUUUUUAAACCAUGUUUUCUUUUGAUAUUUUGCAGGUGGUUUUUUGUUGUUUUGGAUAGAGUAGUUUGGUUGGUGUUUUCAAUUCUGUUAAGCAAAGGGUGAGUUUCUAGGCUGAAAUUCCAAUUAAUUGUUUUAAGGUUUGUGAAUCGAGCAUAGGAAUUAGCUAAUGGCAUCAAUUGACAAUUGGUUGGUGUUAAUUUUUUGUUGUAAUGAUAGGUUUAGAUGAUUACAAUAUCUGAACAUGUUGGUAAAUUCUUUGAGUGUUUUGGCAAUUGGGUACUUGAGAACUCCCAGCAUGAGGAGAAAGUGACAAUGCAUAAUUGAUUGGAGGUAAAAACAUGGUGUCUUUCUCUUUGUGUGUAGGUGGUAGGGGUGGGCACUCAAACCGGCGAACCGGAAAUCCAAACCAAACCGCACCGAACCAAACCGGAAAAAAACCGAGUUGACCAAAAAGUCAAAAACCGGUCAAAAACCGAACCGGACCGGUUUGGACCGGUUCCGGAUCCGGUUCCAUGUCUUCAAAAACCAAAUCGGGCCGAACCGAAUCGGUGAAACUAAAAAAAUAUAUAAUUUCAAUAUAUAUAUUUAUAUUUAAUGCUAUAUUUUUAAUUUCACUAAAAAAAACAUAAUAUUUAUCCAAGUUCAAUGUCAAAAUAUCUCUAUUUUCUCACUUUAAUAUUUAUUUUUUAUAUGAAAUUGAAUAAUUUGUUAAUUUUCAAGUAAAAAAAUAAUAUUUCAGUUGAGAAUUGUAUUAAAAAGUAAUUUUAAAAAAUAAUUUUUAUAAUCCGGUUCAAAAUCGAACCGAACCGGAACCGGACCGAAACCGGUUCAAACCGAACCGGACAGUUUUUGAAAUUUUUUUAUUAAAACCGAACCAAACCAAACCGAAUAAAUAGUAUUGGAUCGGUUCUAAUUUGAGGCAAAAACCGGUCCAAACCGAACCGUGCCCACCCCUAGUAGGUGGGUUAGUGGGGAAUCAAUCAUUGGCCCUGUGUUCUGAAGCAGCGUUUAUGAGACGCUCUCAUUUUUCUGCUUGCAAAUUGCAAUUUGUUGGUAUUUAAAGUAGUGGAAAAUUUUCAAAACAUUUCAAAGUGGUCCUAACUCUAAUUUUAUGUUGUUUUUUGGUUUUUGAAUUUGUUUGUUUCUUUUGUUUUUGUGGAAUUUUUUAUUCAAUACUCUCUCUCUCUCUCUCUCUCUCAAGGAAAGCAAAAUUUGAAAAAGCUUUUCUGAUCAGUAGAGUAAAAAUAAGGGAAAUUGGCGGUUUUGCCCCCAGUGCAACUAAUUUAUUCAAUAAUAUUCCCAUUUUGAAAUAUAAUCACAAAUACCCCUAUAAAAACUCCCUAUUGAUAGUUUAUUGCCCAUCCUUCACUUAGUUUUUUUUUUCUUCUCAGUCGUUGCUCUUCCUCUUCCUCUUCUCUCUAGUCUCUUCUUCUUCCUCUUCUUCAAACCUUACAGAAAAUUCACCUCCACGAAUCUCACCUAACUCCAUAUCCUCUUAGUUAUAUCUUCCAUCUCCUAUCUUUUCUUUUCUUCUCUCUCUCACUCCCGCCCAUGAUAACGGCAGUUGUCACCUCCUCAGAAACCCUAACCCACAUCGGCGAUGGCAACCUCACCCUCUCUCUUUCUGCUGCCCUUCUCCACCUCCAUCUCUCACUCUUUGUCACCUCUUUCGACUGCCGUUCUUCCCCUCCGAUUCAACAAAUUUCUCAAUUUUUCUCAGCUUUCCUGAAAUCCAUGGCAUCUCAGGUACUCAGCUCUUUUGCUUUACUUUCAUACCCAUAUGUUAUUUGGGUUUUCUUCUACUUGUUUCAAUUUCAUAUAUGGGUUGGAAUUUUUGGUGCUUAAUGUCACUUCAAGUCCCUCCAAGUCAAAUUUGAGUAAGAUUAUACAGAAAUUUGUUGAAACAUAAUUGUGGGUUUAAUUUAAAAUUUUAUCUUUUUUUUUUAAAUUUAUAUUUUCAGCUUAUGUAGAGAAUGUUAUUUAAGUAGGAUUAUACAAAAAUUUGUUAAACCAAAAUUUUGGGAUUGUGCAACAAAUAUUUCUCUGUUUGUCUUAAGGAAUAUAAUGCUUGAAGCUUGUCCAGGCUACAAUGAUUUUGAAGUUUUUCUUUUGCUGAUUGAAUUUUAUUACUAAGAUAGGUUUUUAUUCUGACAAAAUAAAAAAAUUGAUAUAUUUUGGGAUGUGAUUUUUGAAUGAACUACAUAAAUUGAUAUAAUGAACUUCUAAGUAUGCUCUCUACAUCCAUAAUAUUGAAUCAGCAAUGGUGAGCUUAAGAAGAAGCAAAUGCUUGAUGUCCAGUAAGAUGAUAAUCGAAGUUAAAUGCUGCAAAGUUAGAUUGUGCUUGAUGUCCACCACUUACUUUAAUUUGCAAAGUUAGAUUGUGCUUGAUGUCCACCACUUACUUUAAUUACACUCAUGUACAAUGUAGAAAACUUUUUGCAAAGUUAGAUUGUGCUUUUAGAGGAAUUUGAUAAUGGAUAAUGGGUUCACCAAUUAUAAGACUGCUUUGUUCAUUCCACAGUCCACUCUGGAAUUGCUCUCCAAUUCUUAUAACCUUCCUUGUUUCUUUUUCUAAAAUUAUGUUUCAUUGUAAUAGGUUGUUGCAGGGAGAUGCCAUAAACCAUAUCAGUUAUAAGGUGAGAAAAAAGAGUUAUUUGAUGACCGGGAAGAGUGUAUAGAGGCAUUGUAGUAUGACAGCCAUCAUCAUUCGGUGUUUUAGAUUUAGGCUUACCUAUGAGUUAUUGCUAGGCUUACCUAGAGUUUAUAUAUUAAUUUUUCCUCAAAAAAUGACAAGCUAUAAAUUGGCAAUAAACAUACAAUACAAUGACAAUAAAAGGCAAUAAAUGGUUAUACACAAAUAAUAAACAAGCAAUAUACAGACAAUAUACAAGCAAUAUACACGCAAUAUACACCGAAUGUAUAUAACGUGUUUUCUCAAAAAAGGAUGUGACUCCUUGAUGAAAUCACAUUCUUACACCCAUAAUUUCCCAAUUUCCCUACUAUAGAAGCAAUACAGUACCAAUACACAAGAAAUAAUACAGUAGCAGUACACAAACUUCAUACUCCCUCUAUAAAUUUAUUCCAACAUACUUGAAGAAAAAAAAAGAUAUACGGGCAUAUACAAGCAAUAAAGGGCUAUACAUAAGCAAUAAAGGGCUAUACAUGUGCAAUGCAUAUGCAAUACAUAUUUGUCAUGGCAUUUGCCAAUUAAAUCACUGAUUUGGUUACAUUUGUAUUUUUUUCUUCUUUGCGAGGGUAAACGACAAAACCAUGGAAAUUGGAGAUUGACAAAUUUCCUUCUAACUUGACUUUCAUAAAUUGAUGAACUAACAAUGUUAUCUCAUUACAUCUUAAGAUAUACAUAAGAAAGUGGCAAAAAACAAAAAAUUUACAUCUCCUCUUGGUCGGAAUUUUAACACAAUUUAUAUCUAUCAGUAAAAUUCUAGGACAUGUCCUCUUAGACCCGAAUUUAAGCUGAAAGUUAGCAAUUUCCUCCCCAAAAGAACGACGCCACUUGAAACAAGACAAUCUUCCAUUUAUAUAAAACAGAUAAAAAAUGUUUAUUAGAAGUAAACCAUUCAGUCAUAAUGGAAACAAAAACAUAACAUUCAAUCACAGUUGAAACCAUUACCAAAAUUCAUAUAGAUUGUUGGCUUUUCUAAAUGACCCAAUUCUUCAUAUGGCAAGCUUUCACAAGACAGUACCAUUGCAAAAUUAAAGUUCAUAUUCAUGCACACAAAUUCAUACUACUCAAUUGCAAUAUAAAAGUAAUUAUAAACAUGGGUGAAGUGAAUGUGUGUCCUGGCAGGCGAAUAAAAAUACAAAUAAGGAAAUAAGGAAAUCAUCAAUAGUGUAUUUGGCAUUGUUCAAACAGUUAAAGAAGCACAAUCUCAGAGAAGAAGAAGAGCAAGAUAAUGGAACUAGAUAAAUGCAAGAGAUGUCAACAAACCUUCAAGUUUUCCAAGAACCCUUUUCACGGCACCAACACAACCUUGGCAUGAUACCAACCUUGAGGAUUGUAGACUGCACCAAAAACAGAUCCAGGAUUGAAUUAUGAAAAAAUAGAGAAAACAAAGAUCCAACAUAUGCCAACUUUACACUAUCAAAUGUAUGUUAAAAUAUUGGCAUUCUCAUAAAACUUACAAACUCUUCAAUCACUUUCAAAAGAAGUAAAAGAUGAGAAUCUUGCAUUUGUUGGUGGUGCUACUGGUUUCAAAUUAUGACGUUGGUUUCUUAUAGUUAAAACCCACAUUAUUGUUAUUUCAGAGAGCAUCUAUGAGUUUUAUAUGUAUUCUUACAGGUUGCUCAGAAAAGUCAGAAGUCCUAAUUUAAUAUAUCACCUAAGUGAUUUCACAUACAAAUCACAAUCACAAAAGAGUGAAUACACCACUUUCAAGGAGGUCUGCAAGUCCAAGUCUCAAUCACAAAACAGUGUAUGCAUGAUUUCAGAGACAAAUCAUAAGUACAAAACAAUGUAUCCAAGUCCAAGAGCUUGACAACCGCAGGAAAAUAGUUGGUAAAUUUCAUUCAAUCACAUAAACAACAAACAAACCACAAUAGAAAUCCAUUAAUGUCUCAUUCAAAAUAGUGAAAGUAAUCACCCACAUUGAAGAUCGAAGAUGAAGGUGUCGUGGCUUUGUGGUGGAAGUCGACGACGGAGGUGGAGAGUCACGAUUGUGGCUUCGUUAUGGAGGCCGACGACGGAGGUGCCUAGUCAAGCCUUGGUUAGGGUUCGGUUCCAAAUGUGGGGUUCAACCUUGUGGUUCAAAUUAGCUCCUAGUUUGAAGAUAUAACUAAGAGGAGAUUGAGUUAAGCGAGAUUCUAUGGUGGAGGUGGAUUCCUAUGAGGUUUGGUAGAAGGAAGAAGAAGAGGAAGAGACUAGAUAGAAGAGGAAGAAGAAGAGGAAGAGACUAGAUAGAAGAGGAAGAAGAAGAGCAACGACUAAGAAGAAAAAAGAAAGAAAGUGAAGGAUGGGCAAUAAGCUGUCAAUAGAGAGUUUUUAUAAGGGGUAUUUGUGAUUAGAUUUCAAAAUAGGGAUAUUAUUGAAUAAAUUAGUUGCGCUGGGGGCAAAGUCGCCAAUUUUUCUAAAAAUAAUACUUAGAAGUGAAUAAUCACUUUAUCUCUUAAUUACUAGGACAACAAAACUUGAAAACGCUUUUUAAAUCUAAUAAUAUACUUACAAAGGUUAAAAUUAAAGAAUCACUUUAUAAUACUUCAAUUGAUCUGCUACAUUUAUUGGAUUCCUGAGUAUUUCUUUUUUUUUUUUUUUUUAUUUAUAACUUUCAUAUCAUAUCAGUACAUCCACCACACAAACACAUCUUUCAUGCUCUAUUUUUCGUUUGUCUUGCUUCUAAAAAGUUAAUUAUUAAUUUUUCUUGAACAUGGUUUUCUUUUGUGGGGUUUUCUUUUAUAAAAUAACCUAGAAUAUGUGCGAUAAUUCAGAGCUGCACGUAAAGUAGAUGAGACACAGCAUUUAACGAGGUUCGGCUAUGCCUAAAAUAACCUAGAAUAUGUGCGAUAAUUCAGAGCUGCACGUAAAGUAGAUGAGACACAGCAUUUAACGAGGUUCGGCUAUGCCUACGUCCUCGGAGAGCAGCAGUAGUAACUUUUCCACUAUGUAAAAUAAUAGGGCUACAAGUUUAGUGUUUACAAUAUAUGUGGCUCACUGAAUUUUCUCUCUAGGAGAAUUUCUCUCUGCUCUCUCUUUCCUCUUUCUUCCUUCUCUUCCUUUCUCUUUUUUUUUCUUUCUUCUUUUUUCCGUUUCUCUUCUUAUUUAUAGGCUGAAAUAAUCACUAUUCAUCACUAUUCAUCACUGUUCACCCGUGACAGACAAACUCUAUCAAAGCCGCCAAAUGAACAGUAAUGAACAGUAAUGAACAGUAAUGAAAACUCUAUCAAGCCGCCAAAUGAACAGUAAUGAACAGUAAUGAAUAGUUAGUGGGCUCCACAUGUUUAUUCUUUUACAACACUCCCCCUUGGAGACCACUAAUGAUAUGUCGGUUGUAUCAUUAAAGACUUGCUUGGAGAAAACCUAGUAAGGUAGAGAACUGAUGGAAAGAAGAGUACAACAAUCUGUAUAGCAUACUUCUGGAUGCUCCCCCUGAUUAAUAUCUCCCCCUGAUGUCUUCAUGACUAUCUUUUGGAUUGAGAAUCUUUCGGAGUGAGUGGAUGAUGUAGCCACCAACAAUUCAUAUAGUAAAUAUAUUUCCAGUGAAUCAUGACUAUCUUUUGGAUUGAGAAUCUUUCGGAGUGAGUGGAUGAUGUAGCCACCAACAAUUCAUAUAGUAAAUAUAUUUCCAGUGAGCUAUCUCUAUGUAAAUCAUAGAAAUUUUCAGAGUCCGCAUAUCUAAUAACGCUUGGGCUAUUUAUAAGUUCACUUGAAAGAAUAUGCCCAUACAUGGUGUUAUGCGGAAAUAGCAUCAAAUAUACCUCACAUCAUCCCAAAAUGAUGGUGAUGGAGUUGAGCCUUAUCUGGAAAAUAUGAUGUCCGGUCCAACAUACUUCCGGAAAAUCCUUAAAGUGCCCAACGGAUAAUCCUCAUAAAAAUGUUUCAAUACUUUCUUAGUAUAAGCAAGUAUCUCGUUAGCAUAAUGCUCGAUCUUUAAGUCGAGACAAAUAUUUCUGGAAUUCUUAAGAAGCUUUAAUGUGUUGCAAACACAUUAUAAUCAAUAUACUCACUGAGGCAAUUUAUGUACAUUAAUAUUGAGUACAGAUUUCGUGCGUCAGGCACAUGUCCACAGACUUGCUUCAUGCAAUUUCAAUCCUUUCAAGGAUUUUGUUUAAAGGGAUUAAACUCUAUGACACAUUAUAUAGCUUUAACCCAGCUAUUUAUACAUCUUUAGGGAACUUCAGGUGAUAUGCUCUGUGCAUUUAAUAACCCUUAAAGAUAACAUGUUGGUCUCCGUAAAUGUGCAAUAAAGGGGCACAAUUGAAUCUAUAAAUAUGGAGAAAACUCAACAUCCCUUGUUUAUGUCAAAAACAUUGUGUCAUACAAAGUAGGUAUAUUCCCUUUUUAUUCCGAACACCCAAGUAUAACUUUUAAUAUUAACAUCUUUUAGGGUUCGAACUGUGGGUUUGUUCUUUCACGUUCAUUCUCAUCUAUAAUGGAAUUGCCUCAUUCCAUUUUCGCCAAUGAUAUUGUCGACAUUUAAUAAUUGAACGUGGUUCCAAUCAACACAGCCCAUUGAUGAUUUGAAUAGCUACUCCAAAACCAAAAAUUGUCAUUCAUCAAUUCAUGAUCAGAAAUUGUCAUUCAUCAAUUCAUGAUCCCACCAUUCUCAUUUGCAUGCGCAUGCAUCAAUUAUAAGCAUUUCUUUGCUUUUGGGUACCCAAGCCACUUCAUGGGGCUUUUAUUAUGUGAGAAUGUGGAUUAUAACCUCCAUUGGAGCGUUAUUUAGUAGUAGGGCGUGGAUAAUCUCUAUUUAGGGAGUUGGAACAUUGAGAACCCAUAUAUCUGUCAUGCUGCAGGCAUGCCAUAGAUUAAUACAUACAUGUCAAUUAAUUUCUGGGACUUUAACCCAUAUUAUGGGACUUUAACCCAUAUAAUUUGCUACGCAUUAGGCGUGCAUAAUAUCAAUAUUGACAUGUCAAAGGAUUGUCCAUUUGGGACUUCAAUCCACAUCAUUUGCUACGCAACAGGCGUGCAUCAUAUUGAUCACUGCUAUACCCAUGUUAUGUUCUUAUGGGACUUUUAAUCUGUGCAGUGUAUUAUCAAUGUAUCCAACUUGCAAUCUGUAAAAUUUGCAUUAAUAAUUCAUGGAUACAUACAAGUCAUUCUUUUGGAACGGACUUAUCUCCCCAUUUGGUUACCUUUCAAGAUAAAAUAUCAAAUAGGUAUAUAAGCAUAAAAUAACACAAGUAUUGCUUACAUCCUUAGGUGGGAGAAACUUUUCUCAAGUAUCAUUCAAGCUCAUAUCAGCCCAGUAAAUAUAAUGUAGCGCUUGAUGAUCUAGUUAUAUCCUGCAAUAGCAAAAAUCACAACUCUUUUGCCUCUGUCAAAACAAAUAACCCUCAUAGUUAGGAUUACUUCAUGGAUUCAUUCUUCAGAUGUUCAUUCUAAAGAAAUAAAAUCUCUUAUGAACAGAGAGUUAUAAAAAGAGAAAAAAUGCAAAAAUAAUGUGAUAUUGAUUGCAAGAGAAGGUAAGCAAUCAGGGAAGGAAGCUGGUGGGAGCAGACAAUAAGCUCUCAUAUCUCCUAGUCUAGAAGGACCUCAGGAGAUUAGAGCAUAAGGCCGCCUUUACAAUUCCCUGAUCUUGCAGAAACAUGAUCAGGGAUAGUCUUGCUUCCUAAAUGGAUGAUCAGAGAUAGUCUUGCUUCUCAGGCAUAUUAAGUGCUUACUGAUAAGAAAAACAAGUAGAUAUCGCAUCACUAGGUAUGGAGUAAACUGGAUGUCUUCUGCAAAGAAAAUUUCGUUAGUAACACAUUUAUACACAAAUACAAUGAAUAGGUAGAACCGGUGAAUUUCAAAUUAACCAUAGGAAAAUUGCGAGAUUCUCGGGAUGCUGUUGAAAAAGUGCGAGAUUCUCGGGAUGCUUUUGAAAAAGUAGCUCUGUGAAAUCCGUAAAGCAAGAUCGGCUUUGAAAAUAAUGCUUGAAAACGCCGAAAGUGCAGACAUGCAUUAUUAGAGGCCACGUGAAGUUUUGGACUCUAGGAAAGAAAAAGAUAAUAUGGGGAUUCGAGAAGAUAUUGGGGUCCUGAAAAACAGUAGCCAUAUUUCCUCCUAUAGAUAUGGCCUUUGUAAAACUUGAUUGGAGCAACUGCGUUUCAACUCAAAUUUCUUCAUUUUCUGAAACUUUAGUUUUCCUAAGACUUUCUUCGAAACCUUCUCAAAAAUGGCUUCCUCUUCUUCCUGCCCAAAUUAUUUCAAUUUAAAUGAUGCUCCAACAGCAAACAGUGACGCCAAAGUUUGGCGUCCAUCCUUUUUAUCCCAAAAUCGUCAUCUCACAGUUAAUGAUUCUGUGAUGAUGAAUGAUGCUACUGCUGUCAUAGUAGCUAGGAAUUUCAUUACUCCAAUGGAUGAAAUGCUGUUAACAGGGAGGUCUGAGGAAGAGGCUAUGGAUGACUCAAUGGCUUUUACCAUUUAGAGUGCUGUUUCUGUUUCUAACAUGGCUGAUCGUUUGCGUGUUAGAGCAAACGAGGUUGAGAAGCUGACAACUGAAAAUUCGUCUCUCCAAAGAAUGCUUCAUGAGUCUCAACAGGAGGUUGAGAAACUUAAAGGAGAGAAUAAUUCCUUGUUGAAACUGGUGAGUUCGUACUCAGUUGAUACACUGAGAAGGCUAGACAUGCUGCAGGUCUCCAAUGAAAGAAUUUUGGGAGACCACGAGAAGCUCAUGGCUAAGCUUAAGAGGCGCCGUCCUCUUCCUUCAGAGGCUUCCAGAACAUAAUGUAAUUUUAUAGAUUUUACAGGGCCUGCACCUUCAUUGCAGGUGGAAAAAAUCUAUCUGUUGUAUGUUUCUGUAAUAAUAAUUGCGCACAUUCUUAAACUUGCACCUGUGGUUUUUACGUCUUUUCAAAAUGACGGUUUGGAACCUUGUGCCUUACAGGUUCAAAUAACCACAUUGUCUCUCCCAAAUUGCAUGGUAGCCCGGAACUUUUGGCCUGGGCACAAACUCAGAAUUUAUUUGCCCUUUUCAAAUGGACAUGAAAUAUGAAUUGAGUAAAAGCCACGAUAAUAUCGCAAUAUAGUAGUGAAGAGCAUUAACUACUAUAUACCCACAACUUCAAGUUCAGGAUCUCUCAUAUAUUUGGAUCCAUGGGCUUCCGGCCCAGGUAUAAUAAAAUAUGUGGGGAGCCUCAAUUCAUUAUUUGAGGUUUAUAUUGAUAUUAUCCAUUUCGCGGUGUAUUCUUAACAACCGGAAUUCACAAAAUAUAUUUCUUCCUUGAGGUGUCGAUUAUAACAGAAUCGAACUUUAUUAAAUUCAUCAUCUUCUUAUGCCAAAGAAAUAUGUGGUGUACCACAAUUUGCAAUAAUACCUCAAGGGUUGUCCAUUUAAUUGUUGGAACUUCAGGUUCUCAAUACUCUUAAAUUUUGAACUUCAGGCCAAAGCCACAUAUUCUCAUGGUAUGGACAUUUUUACAAUUUUCUGUACAUAUUCCGGGACUUCAAGCCCUUACAUAAUUGUCCAUAUUUUGAGGAACUUCUGGCAUCUCAUUUAAUUUCUCAUCCAUGAGUUUAAGGAACUGCAGGUUCCCUUUUGUAUAUAGUGACGGUUUAUCCAAAAUGGUUAAUAUUUAUGCAUACGUCACUAUUCAUGUGAAUAGUACUGUUCAUCAAGUCAUGAAUACAUAUCUAUUCAUGUGUACAGUACAUCUGCCAGUACAGUGACGGUUUAUCCAAAAUGGUUAAUAUUUAUGCAUAUGUCACUAUUCAUGUGAAUAGUACUGUUCAUCAAGUCAUGAAUACAUAUCUAUUCAUGUGUACAGUACAUCUGCCAGUACAGUUAUCAUCCAUGGCUCAUAUUUAUGCAUACGUCACUAUUCAUGUGAAUAGUACUGUUCAUCAAGUCAUGAAUACAUAUCUAUUCAUGUGUACAGUACAUCUGCCAGUACAGUUAUCAUCCAUGUAUACGGCACUAUGAACCAAUACGGUACUAUUACAUCAUUAAGGAACCCCAGGUCCUUAUUCACAUGUUUACAAGUAUAGUACCCCAGGUCCUUAUUCACAUGUUUACAAGUAUAGUACCGGAGAGACUGCCAGCUCUCAUAUCAAUAUCAUCAUUAAGGAUCUUCAAGUCCUGAUGUAAUUGUAUGAUGAGGAUCAAGGAACUUCUGGUCCUGAUCUGCACACUGUAAAAACUCAUCAUACAGCACAAUUAAUUCAUAAAAUAAAUUGCUGAUAAAUAAAUUACUGGUAUGGACGAUAAACCCGCACCAUACUUUAAAUAAAUUAAAUAGCUUGCUGUAUGGACGUUAAUCCCGCACCAUAUCUUAAAUAAAAUUAAAUGUGCGGUAAAGUAAACGUGCUUAUAUGGGCACUAAUUCUGCUCCAUACAUUUAAAUAAAAGCAAAGGCGUGGGCGAUAAACCUGCACCACCCUUUUAAAUAAAUACUGUUGUAUGGGUAAUAAACCUACACCAUAUAGUAAAUAAAAAAAAAUGUGGGAAUAAAAACCACCACUUUGAACAAGAUAAGGAAAGUGUUAGUAUUAGUAACGGUCUCCCACUGAUAAUAUGUUUAGUAUUACCAAGGGUCCAUUUUUGUUAAUGGUUAGUAAUAGAAAAGCAGAUAAAUAUAGUAUAUUAUAUUACCAUCAACUUUUCAUAUAUAUAUAUAAUAUAUAUAUAUUAUACUGAUAUAUUAGUGGAAAGCUAGAUACGUUGGCUUUUCUUCUUUACAUCAACAUAAUGGUUAGUAUUAUAAAUAAUAGUGCAGCACAAAAAUUAUACCUGAGAGCUUCUCGUGCUGAUAACGUGUUAUAAAAUAACCUAGAAUAUGUGCGAUAAUUCAGAGCUGCACGUAAAGUAGAUGAGACACAGCAUUUAACGAGGUUCGGCUAUGCCUAAAAUAACCUAGAAUAUGUGCGAUAAUUCAGAGCUGCACGUAAAGUAGAUGAGACACAGCAUUUAACGAGGUUCGGCUAUGCCUACGUCCUCGGAGAGCAGCAGUAGUAACUUUUCCACUAUGUAAAAUAAUAGGGCUACAAGUUUAGUGUUUACAAUAUAUGUGGCUCACUGAAUUUUCUCUCUAGGAGAAUUUCUCUCUGCUCUCUCUUUCCUCUUUCUUCCUUCUCUUCCUUUCUCUUUUUUUUUCUUUCUUCUUCUUUCCGUUUCUCUUCUUAUUUAUAGGCUGAAAUAAUCACUAUUCAUCACUAUUCAUCACUGUUCACCUGUGACAGACAAACUCUAUCAAAGCCGCCAAAUGAACAGUAAUGAACAGUAAUGAAUAGUUGGUGGGCUCCACAUGUUUAUUCUUUUACAACACUUCAAUUGAUCUGCUACAUUUAUUGGAUUCCUGAGUAUUUCUUUUUUUUUCUUUUUUUUUUUUAUAACUUUCAUAUCAUAUCAGUACAUCCACCACACAAACACAUCUUUCAUGCUCUAUUUUUCGUUUGUCUUGCUUCUAAAAAGUUAAUUAUUAAUUUUUCUUGAACAUGGUUUUCUUUUGUUUGUUGUUAAAAAAACAGAACAAGAAAAAAAUAGAGGAGAGAAAACUCUAUGAUGAGAAAAGUCCAACCAGCUGGUUUUGCCUUUCGUUGGAAUUGUUGGGGGAUAUGACAUAUUUUUUGAUAGGCUCUUUCUCCCAUGAGAGCUUCACUGUUGAAGCUUGAUCUGGCUUUCUUCCGGCCGUUGAUUUCGUUUGUGGCUGCUAUGGUGCGAAUUGGUUCGUCCAUUUGGUCCUCUUCUUCAUCAGAUAACCUUCUUUUUAUUUGUUCUCCUAUUUGUCUCAUAUCGUCAUCUUCCUCUUUCCUUCGUUUGUGCCUGUGCUGGUAUUUGUUGGGUUUCCUUCUUCAAUUUUUCAAAUAUCUUUUUCUCUUCUUCUUUAUUAAUUGCGUCUUCUUUUGAUGUUUUGUAGGAGUCUUUCGACCGACGGUUCUGAUGCCUCACCUGUUGGAUCUCCCGAUCGCUCCUCCUCGAGAUUCAACGACACCCAUCCGACGAUGACAUGAUCAAUCGUCUGGGACCUGCGGUCUUUCCGAAGAUCUCAAUCAAAAAAUUAUUAAGCAGGCAAGAUCUCUCUCUCUCUCUCUCUCUCUCUCUCUCUCUAUUUGAGCAUGCGGAUAAUGAACCCUAGGAGCUUAAUAUUUGUUUGCAUCUAAAAGGAAAUAUGAUUGGGAGCUGAUAUUCUGAACUAAUCGACCAGUCUCUCAGCUGGAAGGUAAAGAUGGUUGGUUCAAUAUAAGAGCAUUCACACAAAAAAUCCGAUUUAACACUAUAUAAAAUAUGUAGAAACCUACUUACCCUCUGUUUGCUAAGAAAAUGCAAGAAAAAAACAGAAAAUUUCAUCUUUUUAAACAUUUACUGUUGUUUUGUGGGUAGGAGUUCAAUAAUUAUGCUUAUAAGAGCGUUUGAGGUCACCCACUUAAUAACAUUAUACUUUUUAUUGAAAUCACUUGGGUUUCUGUGGAAACUCAAGGACAUAAAGGCAAAAGUGAGUCUUUGUUCUAUAAUUAUAUGUUGGAUUGAAAAUUUGGUGUCUUUCUUCUUUCUUGCAUGUGCUUGGAAUUACAAUGAAAAUUUCCUUUCAUUGUUUUUUCGUUGUUGAAGGGUUUGAGCAUGAGGAAAAAGGUAAUUUUGCAACCUCACCAAAGCAUUUCAGGUAAGAACCAUAUCCUUGAAUUGCCCUUUUGGACCAAAAUUAAGCCUUUUGUGUGAUGGUUUAUCAUAUGAUUGGGUUCUAUGUUUGAGCUUAUGGAUUGGUACAUGGUGGAUUUGAAUUGGCACGCAGAGUUGCUUGGGUGAAGCUGAUGACUUUGUGCAUUGCAGGACUACAACAAAAUGGUGCAACUACAUCUAUUCGUGGACUUUGAAAUAGAAACAAGGUUUGCAUCUUUUAAUCACCUCCACUGUAUUUCAAUUUCUUUCCCUUUUAUUAAUUUUGAUUGUGUUUCUCCCCUGUGAUGGGAUUGAACAUUCUUUUGAAAUGGUAAUGGCAGGUGACUGUUUGUGCUUGAAUAAAGGCUUGACAUUGCCCUUGCUGCUGUUGUGGGACAGAGCCAGUGCAUAUGUACAGAAGUUGCGGUAUACAAUGUUCUCUCUCCCUCUCUUUAAUUUCAGUUUAUUUUUUCUUUUAAUAGAAUUUCAUCAAAUAUUUUGGUUCUGGAUUUUUUGUGUUGAAGAAAUUUACAAUAAAGGUAUUUUAUGACGUUCUGUGUUCGUAAAUAUCUUGUGUAGAACAACACAGAAUGUUGACCGACUUUGAAGGUGCUACAAGAAAAAACGAAGUAGGGUUCUGCAUUUGGACUAGCAAAGAGGUUUGUCAAUCGUUCUCUCAUCCUCAAUUUUUUUAUUUAUUUAAUUAGUCGAUUACAUCUCAGCCUUAAAUUCACUGGUUUUUUAUUCCUGUUUAAUUUAAUGAGACAAUUUCUGUUACAGAAUUCUAAAUUAUGCACUUCUUUUUCCAUGUUAGGGUACUGGGAUGCUAGGGGGUUCUUUUUAUUCUCUUUUCCACUGCAUAUUAUAACUUAGAUGGGUAUGCUUCAAGAAGGUCGGUUUUUUUUCUUGAAGAAUACCCAUUUGGUUUUAGACCUAGUUUAUUUAGUUAAAUAUAUGGCUACUGGUGAAAUGGAUUAGCCAAAUAUUGCAUAUGUAAUAUGCAAACAAAUUCUUAGUAUUGUUGCAAACAAUCAGUUUAAGCGAAGGAUUGUGGUAUGAAAUUUGGUAAACAAAUAUCUAGAAAUUAUCUUCACAGUUUCUUAGGUUCCACUUAAUUUGGUAUUUGUUUUUGUGUGAUAUAUUUCUCUUAGGGCGUGUGACGUGUCAAAUGGUAAAGUUGCAAUUAACGGGCUUCUCGGAGAGCUGAAAAAAACUGUACGCAACAGGGCGAAGCCUGAAGGAUCAAUUAUAGAGGCUUGGGUUCAAUAUGAGUCGCUUAUUUUCUAUGGAAUGUAUUUAAAAGAUGUGCAGACGGCUUUCAAUCGUCCUUAGUGCAAUAAUGACAGAGGUGUGAGAAAUGAGAAACUUUAUGUCUUUUCCCAAAGCGCACGCCCCUUUGGAGAUCCUGCACGAGGAGAGUCGUUUUCUAGAAAUGACAUGGAGGUAGCGCAUUGGUUCGUACUGAACAAUUGUGAUGAGAUAAUGGCAUACUUAGAUGACCAUGAAGAGAUGAUGAAGCCAGAAAAUCCAUCACAUUUGUAUGCCAAGAAAUACCGUGAAUUGUUUCCACAAUGGUUUUUGGAAUAUGUAAGUUAUAAUUUUUUUUGUAUUUGACAUAUAUAUUGUAGUACUUAAUUUUCUCAAACUAACAUGUGAAUGUAUUUUUAUAAUAUUAGGUGAAUAAGUUGAAAUCAUCGAAUUCCCCCACUUACAGUGAAGAGUUAUGUAACUUCGCGUUUGGCCCGAUUCGCGCUGAAUUGUUCUCGGGUUGCCAUGUUAAUGGCGUCAAGUUUUUGGGGAUUGCACGAGAUGACAAGUUGUGUACGCAAAACAGCGGUGUCUAUAUCCCAGGUGGAGGCGAAAGUACGGACAUUGAUUUCUAUGACAAACUCACAAUUGUCGUGCAAUUGCUUUACAAAGACCGAUACUAAGUGAUCAUGUUUAAGUGUCGAUGGUUUGAUACCAACCUAAAUAGGCAGGGAAGUGUUAAAAUCGACCAUGGCUUACUAUCUGUGAACAUUAACAGAACUUGGUAUGAUGACGACCCUUACAUUUUGGUAAACAUGGCAACACAGAUUGUGUAUCUAGAUGACCCUAAAGCCGGGAGUGGUUGGAAAGUUGUUCAGAAGAUGGAUCAUAGGAACGUGUAUGCUAUACCAGAACUAGACCCAACUGACAACGACGUCACAAUGUGGCUGACCAACAUUUAGAAUCUUCAAUGGAAAAUGAUGCGGAAACACUUUGAGAUACAGAUGUUAUACAAGAACCAUUUCAGAUACAAGGAGUGUAUUCAAUCGAAAUACCGAUUCAGUCAAUUACAAUUGACCUUGGUGAUCUUCUGCGAUACGAUGUUGUAGUGGACCUAAACAACGACGAUGAUGUAGUUAUAGAGAGGGAGGAUUGGGAGACCGAAAGUGAUCAUAGCGACGAUAACGAAAGUUAUUAUAGUUCAGAUGAUGAAUGAUGAAAUUUUUUGUAAUUUUAUUAUGUUAGUGUACAGAUUUUGGCAAAUAUGCUUGUUUGAAUAUAUGUACUUGUUAUAUCCAAACCUUAUAUAUGUGAAGAAAUGAAACAUUGUUAAAUAAAUUGAGCUAUAAAAGAAAAUGAGAAAUGAAAAUAAAUUUAUUUAUAAAACAUUGGUAAAUAAAUAUAUCCAAACCUUUUUUAUAUUAAUUUUGAAAAUUAUUUUUACAAAACAUUUUUAAAAAAUGAAAAUGAGAAACAAUCUGACCUAAAUAUGUAUUUGGUGCCAAAUACUUGAGUGACGAAUUUAGCCUAUUCGUGCAUAGUUGUAUUUUGCGCGACGACAAAAUUACUAGUCACGUACAGUUGCAAGUUUGCGCGACAAAAUCUGCUUCUUGUCCUGUAAAGUUGUAAUUUCGCGCGACAACUGUACUUUUCGUAGCGUAAAGUUCAAUUUUGCGCGACAAUUUCAAUACUCGUCGCGUCAAUAUAUGUAUAUUGUAAUAUAUAUAUAUAUACAUAUAUUAUAUUAUAAUGUACAUAUAUACAUGUGUAUAAUAUAUGUGCAUAUAGUUGUAUCUAUAUAUUAUCAUACAUACGUGGGUAUAAUACAUACAUAUAUACAUAUAUAUAUAGAUACUAUAUAUGGGUAUGUUAUAAUAAUAAUAAUAAUAAUAUACAUGUAUAUACGUGUCUAUAUGUCUAUUAUAAUAUAUACAUAUAGUAUAAAUAUAUAAUCUAUAUGUGUAUAUACGUCUGUAUAUGUAUUUUAUAAUGCAUACAUGGGUAUAAUUAUUUUUGAUAAAUUAAAAAUAGGUACACAAUAAUUAUUAGAGACAAAAAUUGGGUACAUUAUUUAGAGAAAAAAUCGGCUCAUUUAAAUAAAAUAUUUUUCAUACAACAAAUAAUAAAUAGUUUAUCAAAAUAUUUUUCAACAUAAUUAGAAUGUGCACUAUUAUUCAUAAAAGGAAAACAAUAUAAUUGUUUUAUUAAAUAAACAAAAACGUUAAUCACAUGUAGAUUACUAAUACGUUAAUGUUGAAUUUAAUAUUUAAUUUCAAAUAAGUUUCUAAAUUAAUUCCUACAUCGAUUACUUAAUAGGGUAGUUUUGGAUUCCGAAAAAUAUAAUAAAUAAGAUUUCAAGCUAGAUUAGGUAACUUGCGAUGUUUGGAUCCUAGUCAUCGGGUUUUAUUUGAAAAAAUUGGGUAUUUUAAAUUGAAAAAUAAAAGUGAAAAUAUGAAUGAGAAGAAAUAGGUAUGCCUAGAUACUUUACUUUUAUUCUAUGGAUAAAGGAUCUAAUUGAUAGAGGAAGCGCCGUAAAGAUCAAUGCGCAAGGUUUUGUUCCGAUACAAUAAGAAAUGCAAUCGUCGAGAUUGAAGGAGUUAAUUAAAUGCAAUAUUUUUUUAGGAAACCAUUAAAUUGAUGAAUAAAAACUUGUUUAAGAAUUAGGGAUUUAAACAUUUUCGUUAAUAAUAUUUAUUAUCCUUUUACAACGGAGCCCUUAAUGAAAUUUGAGAUAUAAUUCGGAAUUUUUCUUGGGAGGUAUCGGGAAGGAAUUGGAAUGUAAUAAUAUCGAUUAGAUGCAUUUAUACAGAUACAUAAAAAAAGGUUCCCGUAAAUACACACACUUUGCCCGACGAAAACAAACGUCAUACGUCACACAAAACUUUGCGGGACGCACACUUACGUCGCGCAAAAUAACUUUGAGCGACGCCAAGGCAGCCAGUGUCGCGCAACAUACGUUUGAGCGACAACUGGCAUCCUACGUCACGCACUGCUAUACUUUUCGAGGGUUUAGGGUUUAUUGUUUAUGAAUUGCGCAACGGUAUGGUUUAGUCGUCGCGCAAGGUGGUGAAAAUUUGGGCAGAAUACACAACCUUGUGCGACGGAAUAAUACUUUAGUCGUGGCGCAGAGUCAAUUAAACAGUACCUUGUGCGACGCUGCUGUGUAUUCGUCGCACAAGAUCGGUCAGACCCUUCACUGUUUCUCUCUCCCCCUAAACCCUAAACCCCAAAUUUUGACGGAAUAACAACCUUUCACGAUGGAAAAAUACUUUUGUCGUCGCGCAAAGUCGAUUAAACACUACCUUGCGCGAUGCUGUUAUGUAUUCGUCGCGCAAGAUCAGUCAAACCCUUCACUGUCUCUCUAUCCCCCUAAACCCUAAACCCCAAAUUUUGGCAGAAUAAAAACCUUGCACGAUGGAAAAAUACUUUUGUCGUCGCGCAAAAUCGAUUAAACACUACCUUGCGCGACGCUAUUGUGUAUUCGUCGCGCAAGAUCGAUCAAACCUUUCACUAUCUCUAUCUCUCCCUAAACCCUAAACCCUAAAUUUUGGCAGAAUAACAACCUUGCGCGACGGUUUCGUUUAGUCGUCGCGCAAGGGGACGAAAAUUUUGGUGGACUACCUACCUUGCGCGACGGUUUCAUUUAUUCGUCGCAAUGUUAUGAAAAUUUGGGCUGAAAACAUACCUUGCACGACACUUUGUUUUAUUCUUCUCGCAAGAUCGAUUAAAUUUUCAAAAAAAACAUGAAAGGGCAGACCCUUCUCCCUCACUUUCUCUCUCUGCCCUAAACUAGAAUUCUCUCUCUCCGCCAUCAACCGCCACACCUUAGCCCACGACUCUUCCGGAAAAAGGACCGGGCCACCACCACCUUCGAAGGCCAGACCUACCCCACCAUCACCAUCAUGCCUACUGCUAGAAUUGCCCUGGUUUUGAUAGAUUUUCACCGGCCUCGUUCUAGCUCCUCCGGCCACUAAUCCCCACACCUGAGGUAUGAUUUCUGCACUAUUUUUCGUGCUCUAGCUGAUGGUUGGGUAGGAUUUUAUAAAUUCCUAGUUUUCGUAUAUCGAAUUGUAACCCUAAUUUUGGCCAGUUUUUGAAUUUAAAUUUCGGCCACUUCCACCCCUUUUUCGAGAUAGGUCCGAGAACAAAAGUGGCUGCAAUUGAUGUUUUAAACAUAGGGUAAGAACCUUGGCUCUUAAUUUUUAGAAUUUUUAGGUGAUUGUUAUUGCUUUGGACACCCACGCGUUGCUGACGUGUGUGGUGGCUCGUCGGUUACUGUAGCAGUGGGGCAUUGGGUCCCAGUGCAAUCCCCUAGUUGUCACGAGGGCGUAGGUGUGCUCGGAUUUCAAUUUGGUUACCGUUUGAGUCUCGAACGAAUUUCGCCUAUUGUGCGAUUUCCGGGUUUGAUAUGUUCGGACCGUUGGAUCGAACUCAAACUCACGUAUGUUAUACCUUGUAUUUCUAGAAUCGUGUAGGAUUCGAAGGAUCAUAAAUCAGAGCCCCGGAUACUCCGAAAUCGCAAACCCGAGGUCAAGAUAUGUUUUUAAUUAAUUAGUUAAGAUUUGUAAUGAAAUUGUAUGUGCUUAGAAUUAUAUCUUCAUAAAUUGAAUUAAUUUGUAUGUGUAUUUAUGAAAUUGUGAAAAUGUCAAACCUUAUUAGAAGUCGUAAGGCGAUGACGACUGCACAGAGGUCGCCUCCCCCGGCUCAACCGCCAUCUGUUGCCACUACUCCAGCACUAAUGGACCACUUGCUAGUUGGUCCCCGGGUGUUCCAGGCGCCGGCGUCAUCAGCAUCAUAAGUGGCGACCUGUUAGUGUUAGGCGUUGUCACCAACCCGCCAGCACCACCGACACCACAUCGACAGACGCUACUAGUGUGUCGGGGUCAUAACUAGGUACAGAUUUCCUUCAAGUCUAGUUGGUUUUUUUUAUAUAUAUUUUUUAUUUUAAAGUUGAAUUUGUUUUUUAUUUAACGUUAAUUUCAUAUUUCUUUGCAGCCAAGAAGAACACCCAGGGGCCAUGUCAGUAGUUGAAGAUGACGAAGGUCACCCUGGUGACCAAAGACGACGAAGGUCACCCGGGUGACCAACAGUCAUAUCAACAUCGGAUACGACAAGCGGCAUCGGGCUGCACCGACGACGAAGUUGCACAGCUCAUUGGCCCACGACAUUGGUCACGUCGUUUCGGACCCAUUGCCCGAUGCAAUGGAAGUCUUGGAAGGUCAUGCCUGACGAGAUCUAGACGGAGGUGUGGGGACAGUUGUCGGUAUAUAUCUUACCUUUUAAUUCUUUUUCCUUCAAACGUUAUAUAUUUUUAUUACUUAAUGUAUGUAAUUAAUUUAUUGCGGACGAACUACAACUCAGAGGACCUCGACGACGAGUCGUUGGCAUACGUCAACAAACUCUUUGCUGAGAGGUACAAGCAGUGGAAGAGCAACUUGUACCACCAUUUUCAGGGGUUUGAUGAUCCGCAGGUCACUCUUUAGGAGGGUUGCUUGAAGGAACUUAAGGGGCGGGAGGAUAGUUGGGCGUGGCUCAGCGCUCAUUUUCAGGCACUUGAUUAUAUGGUAUUUUUUAAUAUUAAUUUCAAAAUUAUUACAUGUUUCUUACUAAUGUUUAUUUAAUUUUUUAUAUUUCAUUUCAAUUUCAACUAAUACGUUUAUUUUUUGUAUAACAGAAUAAAGCCAAAGUCAAUAAGGGCAAUAGGAACAAGAAGACUCUUCUCCACUAUUCAGGUUCCAGGCCCUUCUCAUAUAGGAAGGACGCACGGCGGCGGAUAAUAAUAAAAUAGUUUAUAUUCAAUUUUUAAUUUGUAAUUAAUAUUAAUUUUUUUUCGUACUAACAUUUUUCUUUUCUUGUUCAAUUCAGGGGGAGUCCAAAUUCCCAGAGAUCGACGUCUUUGGUGACGUUUAUAUUCGACCUGGGAAUGAGUCAGCCAAGUCCCUUCGUGUAAGUAUUUUUUAAUUUUAAUUAUUAUCUUACACAUUCAAGUUUCACGGUUAUUAUAUGAAUGUUUUAAUUUAUAUUUUAUGUUAUGUUAAACAGACGACGAUGGUAGAGAGGAGCCAGUUGGUUCUUCAGGAGUCCGCCUCUCAACUUCCUCCCAAUACUCCGAUCGAGUCUAUGGAUCCUCCACAUGAUGCUGGGUUUUAGAUCUUGACGGAGACGUUGGAUCAAACUCUUGGGAGGAGGCUGGGGACAUAUUGUCGAGGGAUGAGGAAUGCUAGGCGGAGGGAACCUGGACCCCGUUUAUCGUCGCAGUCAAACAAUCAGGUGACUGCUUUCACAGCAAAGGUGGCCGAGCUUGAGGGUCAGAUGUCUGUGCUUCUGGAGUCCCUCGCGCGGUCCGGCAUUCCAGUCCCGCAUUUUGAUCCCUUGUCGACCUCCGAGUCCGUCCAACUCGAGCAUGGCCACCAAACCUCUGCCCCUGUGGACCAUGGCCAAAUCACCAAGCUGCAUCUGCCUGACAACCAAGUAGAUUUUGGAACAUUGUUUGAUUAGUUUUUUACUUUCAUAAUUAUAUUUUAAACAUUUAUUUUGUAGUAUACAUUUAUAUUAUUUUAUAUAAUAAUUUUUCUCUUCAUUACAUUUUUUUAUUGCAAUUUCAUUUUAUUACCCAAAAAAAAAAGCAAAAUUAUUUCUUUACAAAAUUAAAAAAAAACGUAAACUUAAAUUUAAAUAAUAUAUAUUUUAUUUUUGUACGACGAAACACUUUUCGUCGCGCAAAUUCACUUUUUACAAAAUAAAAAAAUGUAAAACUAAAUUUUAAAUAAAUAUAUUUUAUUCUUGCGCGACGAAGACUUUCGUCUUGUAAAAAAGAAAUGCGCGGCGACGACAAUUUCGUCGCGCAACAAGAUUCGCCACGCAAAUGUUGGACACAUGAAUUGCGCGACGAAUACGAAUUGUCGCACAAAUAGUUGCAACACGAACCGCGCGACGAUUAUAAUCCGGCGCGCAGUGUACUCGCAAUGAACAUGCUUUCGUCGCGCAAAAGUUUGUCAGACAAACAAUUGUGUCGUCCCUAAACCUUUUAUGCAACGAAGGUUAACCGUCACUCAGUUUUGCGUGACCAAUGAAAAAACUUGGUCGCGCAAAGUCUUUCUUCACAAUCUUUGCGUGAUGGAUUGUGCGCGACGAAUUUUCUGUCGCGCUGAAAUUUGUGCGACUAAAAAUAAUUUUAAGGAACAAAAUGCUCUUCGUCGCGCAAAUGGUAAAAUAUAGUGGUGUACCCCCUCGCCCACCUCCCAACGACGAAACCAACUCUAGAUUCAACUCCUAACCCAAAUUCAGAUCUGGAUUUUGUGUGCACUCUAUUUAUUUAUUUAUUUAUUUUUGGUCAACGGUGUGCACUCUAUUUCAUUAAACAACAAAAGAUGAUUUUUUUUAUUUAUUAAUUUGACAGAUGGUGGGGGAAUAGAGUUCAUAUGGGUUUUGUUUAACGAAAUAGAAUUGCACCCAACCACGGCUCUGGAAGUGGGAUGAUGAUAUGGGGGUGGGGGAAUAAGGAUGGGUCAGGGACAAUGAGAUUUUUUUGGGGGGGGGGGGGGGGGNNNNNNNNNNNNNNNNNNNNNNNNNNNNNNNNNNNNNNNNNNNNNNNNNNNNNNNNNNNNNNNNNNNNNNNNNNNNNNNNNNNNNNNNNNNNNNNNNNNNGUGGAGGGGAGGGGAGAUGGGGGGCUGGUUAUUUCUUUACUUUUUUAUUUUAUUUUUCUUUACUUUUUAAAGUGAUUUUAAUAUUUUAAAACUUAUUUUAAAAAGUAGAUAAUUUUUUAUUAAUUUUUUUGUCCACAUGUAAGUCUAUCUUAUUAAAAAAUAAAACCCACAUUCGCCACGUCAGUAUUUAACAAAUUCACUAACGGUUUGGUUAACAGAUGGGGCAAAUUAUAGGGUUUUCGCAACAUUGAGUAUGUACUGGUAAAUGUCCCCAAAACAGGGUAUGAACUCGUAAAUAACCUUAAGGUUGGGGGGUUUUAUGUAGUUUGUCCAUUUUGUUAUUAUUUUUAUAACACAAACCGAUAUUAUGAUAGGAGGGAAUUGAACUUACGACCUCAAAUGUAGGAGUAUAUACUCUUAAUUAGGGGCGGAGCUAGAAUUGUAAAGUUAAGGGGGCCAAAGUAGAAAAUAUAAGUAUAUAAAACAUCUAAGUAUUCGAUAGUUAGAUAUUUAGAGCUAAAAUUUCUAAUUUAGUCAUGUCUAGUUUGUUUUAGACGAAAUUUUAAUUUAAAUUAUAAGUUUUUUUUAAUUACAAAUUAUAUAUGUUAUAAUAUAAUAGAGGAGAUAUCAAAAUCUAGGAGGGCCAGGACCACUUCAGACCUAAAAGUAAUUCCACUACUAUUAUUAACCACUUGAUCUACAAACAAUGAUAUAUUUCAUGGUAAAUUUGUGCAUUGAUAUCACUCAACAUAUGUUCUUGGGCUCCAGUAAUUUUCUGAUAAUAAUAAUGAAGAUGACCCUCUGUUUAUCCAAAACUAUCCACUUCAAUGUCCACAUAUACCAACAAAAAUGUUCAUAUGUUUCACACAUGCAGCAUGGGGCUCUACUUGUAAAUAAUUUCUUGUUUCUUUUGGGACCUCCAAUAAUGCAAUAAAAUAAGCAUUCUAUAUUUGACACAUUUACAUUGUAAUUAGCAUCGGGCAAGAUCCUUUGAGGGUCAUUUUUGACAAAGGAUUUGUUCUGUUUAUCCAAUCAUAACUCUUACGUUGUACCAUUGUAGUUUAAUAACUAGAAUCUUCUAUCUUUUAGGUCACCGUUGAAAUUCUAAAAAUAUAAACGAAAGCGAAAAUUGUUUAGUCAUCUAAUUGCUACAAAUACAUGACAACAAAAGUAGAGACUAUUGCCAAAACCACAUUCAUGGUGGCCAAAGCAGUCCUUUUAUUAACUUAGAAUUGAAAAUUACAUAAAACAGAGACAUAAAACAGAGACUUUCUCUUAGAGCCAAUGACUUUUUUUUUUUAGUACAUAGAAGCUUAGAAGCUACGUACAAGCCUGGCAAGCUUAUUAUAUUUUACAAUAACACCACCAUAAUUGCAAUAAUUCAACCUCUUAGUCAUUGUAAACCGAAACAUUUGGCCUUGGCUCAAAAUCUUCCUCAAAUGGCUGCUUAUCUUCUUUGGCUGCAAAUGACUGCUUGGCUUUAGGACCAGCAUUGUCUUUGGAAGAGAGCUCUGCUUUAGUUUCAUCAUCAUUGUAGGAUGAGACAUUGGGUCUGGGUUCAAAUUCCUCAACCUCAACCUCAACCUCAACAAAAGGUUUUUUCACUUUUUCAUGGCAAUCGGCUUUCUCCUUUGGUGUUGAAUCAGAAAUAUCAAUAAGGAGGCCUUCAAUUGCCUGUGGCAUAGGUUGCUCUUUCAUGACAUUUUUCCAGUAUUUCCCGACAUCUCUUCUUGACUCUAUAGUUUUGGCAAAUUGUUCCACAAGACAAAGAAAAUAAAAAGAAAUAAAAAGAAAUUUCUAAGGCAUUCUAAAUUAUCAUGUCGAAAUCUAUACCGUCAAUGUAGAUCACAUAUUUGACAAAAAUUCACUUCAAAUUGACAAUUUGACAAUAUAAUAUGACAUACGAAGAUAAAUGUUCUCUUACUCUGUGUGGUAAUAUAAGAUGUUUAUGUUGCUAGAAUGUGAAUAUAAACCAUUAAUCAAGUUGAUUAUUUCUAGAAUGUGCGGUUUAAGUUUACAGUGUGCCAAUAUAAGUUAGAGUCUAAUAAGAUAAUAGGGCCUGUUUGGUAUUCAACUUGAAUCCAAAUUUUUAAACUCAAAAACAAAAUUUGAGUCAAAAACAAAGAAAACCUGUUUGAUAGCUCUAUUUUUAAAAACUUAAACUCAAGAACAACUAAAAAACACCCCAAUUAUUAAAAAUAAAAAAUAUCUGUUUUUUCAGUUUUUUUUUUCUAACAACCCAUAAGUUCUCAAAUUUUUAAGAUUUGAAAACAGUUUUCAAGUUGCAUACCAAACAAGUUUUUGAAUCUUAAAAAUAGAUUUAAGAACUCUUUGUUUUUAAGAAAAAUCAAAGUUUUUGAGUUCCCUAUUUGAAUAGGAUAUCAAACGGCCCUGAUUUUUGGUUGUGUCUGUCUUGUCAGUCCUAUAUAUCUAGCAACUUCAUAGCUUUAAAAAUUGGUGACUUCAUAAGCAACAAUAGGAAGAAAGGGUAUUAUACAAAUACUUACCAAAAUAAGAGAGAAAAGAGCUAAGAUAGCACAAAGGGACUUCAUGCCUACAAAUACUAUACAAAGAGUUCUUUGUAGUUGUACUUUUGAAGGAUAUGUAACCUCACUACUUAUAGAUAAUUUACUACAACGAAAGCAUUAAGGCAGGCAGGACCCAAUUAUGGGCCCUUUAUUUUUAUUUUUUGUGAAAUUUUGAUAAUAAUACUUGGAACAAAUCUGGGCCGAAUCUAAUUAUGGGCCCUAGAUCUUUGGAAGGUUUCUAAAUAGAUAUGUUUUUCUAUGUAGCCCAUGUUUGUGUGUUAUUUUUUUAUUUAUAAUACAACGAUAUUAGGAUAGGAGAGAAUUAAAUUUAGGAUCUCGAAUGUAGAAGUAAAUACUCUUAGAGCAUCUACAAUGGGAUCCCUAAACCACUUCCUUAGACAAAUUUUAAGAAGGAAUCGUAAAAAUGCAACUCCAACCAUGCUCCCUAUCCACCUCCUAAAAUAAGGAGUCCUCUAGGAGCUCCUAAAUCUAAAGAGAGAAAAAAGACUCCUAGUAGCUCCCUAUAAUUUAAUACUGCUUUAUUUAAUAAGUAUUUCAAACCUUUAUUUAAUGCUAACUAUUUUUUAUUUUAUUUUUUAAUAGAGAUGGACUAAUCAAAAAAGAGUUAUAGCAUUUAUGACUCUCCAAGUUAGAGAGUAUAGUUGGAGUUGAAAUUUUUUAGAGAACUCCUAAAAUAGCUUUCUUAUAUUUUUAGCUAAAUUUUAACUAAAAAAUAGAGAGUAUCAUUAUAGAUACUCUUAAUCACUUGAUCUACAAGCAAUGAUAAGUCUCACACAUAAAUUUGUGUAUCCGAUAUGAGUCGACAUAUGUUCUUGGGGUCCAAUAAUUAGAUCAACGAGGCUUUUUAGGAUUAUUAUUCUCGACCGAUUCUUAAUGGCAUUAAUCCAAAACAUCCAUUUCAAUGUCCACUUAGCUUUACCAUAAAAAAUGUAAACAUGCUUAACACAUGCACGCAUGGAGUUCUACUUGUAAAUGAUUUAUUGUUCUUUUUGGAUGUCCAAUAAUGCAAUAAACAUUUUAUAUGUGACAAGUGAAAACUAAGUUGCAUGAUUAUGGACAUAUAUUCAUUAUGACUAAUAUCGGACAAGAUCCUUUCCGGCUAACUUUGUACGAUUACUCAUAUUAUAAUAUUUUAUGAGGUAAUUAUCCUUUUCUUUUAUUUCUUUUAUAUCGUUCUUAUUCUACAAUGUAAUUUGAUAAUCAGAAACGUCUAUUUUUUAGACUGUUCUUUAAAAACGAAAUCUUGAUCAAUGAAAGAAGAUAUUCACAAUUGAAAUUUUAGGACGAAAUAUAUUUUUUCUACUAAAACUGUGAAAUUUUUUUAAGCAAAUGAGAAAUUAUAACCAAAAAAAAACCUCAAAUGAAAAUAUGAUGGUUGAACCAUCCUAAAAUUUGUUACAAUUUUUAUUAUUAUUUAAAAUUAGUGGUAAUUGUAUUCAAUAUUUGGGCACAAAGACCAAAUACCCGUAAAAGGUUAAUACAAAAAUGGAUGUCCAAUAAUCACAAAGGGUUAAUCUUGAUAUAAGAGGAUACACCGACGACAUCACAUGACUUGUAUUUGCACUAUAAAUACCAAAUACAUUUUAACGUAAUAGUCACUGUUAGUAUGCAAAUAGUGUUGUCAUUUCCUAGACUCUAGCAUAGGUUGAAAAUUAGUGUGUGAAGAAUUGUUACUGGACAUUUUGGCACAACUCAUUCAACCCCAUACAUCCGAGGCUUGACUUGACCGAUAUGAGAAACUUGAUUUCAGGUAAAUCAUGACAUAAUCAUGCAUUCAUUAUAGGAUUCCUAGUUUGAGUUUUUUUUUUCAAUCAAGUUUUUUUUAAUGUUAAUCUUAUUUUUAAUAGGAUUAAACUUUAUCUCUUAAGAUUACUUUUCUAGUUAAACUCUAUUUUGAUUUAAGUUAAAAUAUUAUAUUGAUACCUAAUUGGUCUAUUUGAAAAAGAUUGUUAUCUUGAAUAACAAUCCUUGCAUAAGUACGUUUUUCUGCUGUGCCCAUUUCGAAUGCCAUCAAAUAGUCAUAGUUGAAUAAGGUUUAGUGGGUGUUCAUAUUGCAUCAGGUUUAGGAGUUUUAAUUGAAGGGGGUUUGGCACUUGUGGGAUGUCAUCUGACUAGGCAUAGGAAACCUUGAAUAAAAGGAGGAUGCCUCUCCUCGGUUGUGUAGGUUUUUCAUAUUGGGUUGAGCAUAUAGAAUUCUUGAGCAAAAGCUGUUGUGCAUAUAUUUGAGAUAAAUCAUCAAGUGUUCCAUGUUUUACUUGGUGAUUUAUCAAACACUUUAAUCAUUCAUAUUGCAUUCAUAUGCAUGUCGGUGACUCAUACGGUUGAGGGCACCAAGACCGUGGUGGCGGUUUUCCUCCGGCGAGCUUGAAGCAAUCGUGGCCAGUAUUACGUUCAACAUAAGGAGUGUCGAAGAUCAUCCCGUGACAGAAGUUGAGUUACGAAGAAGUCGGUAAACUUUAUCUAGAAUGAGUCUAGGAUAAGUGUGUAAGUACUUCUUGUAAUCAUCGUUCUAUAGUGGAUUUGAGUUGGACUGAGGAGUCCCGUGGAUUUUCCCCAGAGGUGGGGUUUUACCACGUAAAAUAAUUCUCUGUGUGUUCUUUUAUUUUAAGCUGUGCACAUCUCAGGAUUGAUAACUAAUAUCAAUCCUACUUCAAAGGUUGAUCAUUAUUUAUUGUAAAAAAUUUGAAUUAGCUUGUUUAACCUUCUCCAGGCAUAUAUAGAUAUCCUACAGGUAUUUUCAAUUGGCAUCAGAGCAGGUUGCUGGACAUACUCAGUAAGAUCUAAUAUACCUUAGGAUGGAUCGUGCCUCGGGCUCAAUUGCACAUCCACCAUAUUUUGAUGGCAACAACUAUGGCGCUUGGAAGGCCAAAAUGAAGUCUUUUCUUUGGUCCUUAGAUGAACGUGUAUGGAUACAGUUGUUCAUGGAUUUCCUAAACCCACAAAGAAGAUCAGAAAAGGAGAUGAAGAAACCACAAUCCUCAAAGCUAGAGAGGAGUGGACCACUGCAGAAGUCACACACAGCACUAAUAAUCAAAAGGGGUUAAAUGCUUUAUUUACUGCUGUCUCUUCAGAUCAAUUUGAAUAUAUAUCUGGUUGUGAUACUUCUAAGGAAGCUUGGGAUAUUUUGCAGCUUACUCAUGAAGGAACAGAUACUGUCAAGGGAGCCAAGCUUCAAAUGCAUACUUUACAGUUUGAGACACUCAUGAUGGAUGAGAAUGAAACUUUUUCUGAAUUUUAUGCUAAACUGUGUGUAAUUGUGAAUGCUUGUUCAAGUUUAGGUGAAAAAAUUCCAGAAGACAGGGUUGUGAAAAAGAUUUUGAGAUCCUUGCCUCAACGAUUUCAACCAAAGAUCACGGUUAUUGAAGAGAUCCGUGACUUGAACACCUUGAAAGUUCAAGAACUCAUAGGGUCCAUACAAACCUAUGAGAUGAAACAUCUAGCUCCUAAAAAGAGCAAAAAUGUUGCUUUCAAGGUUGUGAAUGAAGAAGAUGAUGGACAUUCAAAUGAAGAUUGCAGUGAUGGGGAAUUAACGAUUCUCACAAGACGAUUCAUGAACUUUCUCAAGAAUCAGGAUCCAAGGAGUCGAGAUUCAAAAGGUAUAAAUUCUAAAAAUAGGUUUGUUAACUAUACUGAUGGUGGGUCUAAAUUUCGCAGGUCAAAUGAAUGAAAGAAUCCAAGAGAAAAGGUCCAAUGUUUCGAAUGUGAAGGCUAUGGACACAUAUCUUCGGAAUGUGCCAACACCUUAAAGAAACAAAGGGAUGGAAAGAAUAAGGCAAUGCAUACUACUUGGAGUGAUAGUGAAUCAGAAUGCGAGAUUGAUGAAAAGACGGUUGCACUCAUAACCACAGUUAGCUUGGAUGAAUCACAUGAGGAUGAUGAUUGUAAAGGUAUAAAUAUUGAGUUUAUCAUGAACAAAUAUGAUGAUUUGUUGGCUGCUUCUCAGAAGCUCAAUAAACAAAAUAGUGAGCUCGUCAAAGAAGUUGCUGUGCUGAAGCUGGAAAAUUGCAGGAUUGCAAACGAGUUUCAAUCCCCUGAUGCAGAUUCCGAAAAGGUAAGUGCAGGUAUGAACGAAACAUUGAUGUUUUUGCAUAAAAAAAUUGGCUGAUCAGAAUAAAUUAAUUGCAUCUCUAACAUCUGACAACAAAGCCCUUGAACUUGAACUUAAAAUUUCAAAAGAAAUGAUUGUUUCUUUAACCAUUGGUGCAGAAAAAAUUGACAAGAUGAUUAGCAUGGGAAGAAGAGAUGGUGACAAACGAGGCUUGGGAUUUGAACCAAGUAAUAAGUCUUCCGCUGUGUCUAAAAUAAAGUUUGUCAAAUCCACUUCACCUAUUGAACCUUCUGUCACUCAUGAAGUCAAGAAAUUUAUUCCAAUUUGUCACUUUUGUGGAACUCAUGGGCACAUAAGACCGAGAUGCAAUAAGCUUCGAAAUGAAUUCGUUUGUUCAAAUUCUCAUGGCAUGGGUGGAAAAGUAAGUAUCCAACAUAAGAUUUCAAAUCUUAUGAAAGAGGUAAACCGCUUAUCCAAACUAUCUUCUUUUCAUUGUUUGUCGUCAACUAAGACAAAGUUAGUUUGGAGGAAAAAGGAAAAUCAUAAUGGUAUGUCUUCCUCCACUAAUAUUGUGCAUGAACCCGUUGCUUUAGAAAGUUUGAAUCUUAAAUGUAUUGCUGCAAAAUCUUUGGAUAAUCUUCGAUCUGACACUCUUAGAAAGUCUUUAGGUAUAUGUGCUCUAGAUUAAUUUGGAGUCUAUUGCAUGCCAAAGCCUCUUUCAUGUCUUAUGAUAUUUCAAUUAAUUUCGGUGUUUAUAAAUCUGCCCAGCUCGUGCAAGGAUUGUUAAGGUGUAUCAAUCCUGUAACUGUCUGAACGUAUUUGUUGAUCUUAGAUUGGGCUCUGACACUGCACUAUAUUGAGAACUCAUACUCUCAGCUUCACACAAAGGUUUCCAUUGUCUUGGUGCAUUAUAAACUUCAUUAAAUGAUCUAUCCAUCUUUUUAUUUUUAUUUUGCACAUCACACUCUUUUCCUUGAAGUCCUUUGAAUAUCUCUUCUCGUGCACUUGUCCCUUUUUGGAUUGCCAUAACACUACUGUGCGUAAGUUCUUGAUCUGUUUAGAAAUAAAUUUAUAAAAAAAAAAAAAAAAGGUGUUGACCACUCAUUGCUCAGUAACCGGGCCUCUUGUCUAACCAACGUCGAGAUUCGAGUCAACAAGUUGUGAUGGUUUGCUAUCCUUGCUUAUCUUUGGAGCCUUCAUGAUUCGGAUCAGUAUUUCCUCAGGGGUGCUUUAUCACCCAGUUGCUUCCAGUCAUCUGACGUGAGCACACUGAUUGACCAUCCGUUACAUGGAUCAUGUCGAAAGCUAAAUAAAGUAAGCCACCAAAUUAAAAAAAUAAUAAUAAUAAAUACAAUUCAUGUCUCAAAUAAACUGAUCUUCUUAUACUUCCAAUGCACUUAGUGUCUGUGUCAUCUUUGGUGGGAUCAGUCUUGGGUGGACAUAUUUUUUGUGCUUAAUUGAAAGGAGUUCACUUCACACCUUUGCUUCCUAAUGGUAGAAUCAUUUGGUGAUGUUUAUUUUUCACCAUGCAUGUGGUAUGCCUCCUUGAUUAUCUGUGAGUUUGUGCAUUUCAUCUGGUGGCUUGCUUUUGUCCCUGCCAUGCUUUGCUUCUUAUGCGUUUCAGACAGCGUUGGGUCUGCUACUACUGUCUCUUCUUGCUCACAUACUUGGCAUGUUUAUGAUUGGAAAAUAAUUACAUCUUCUAGAGAGCUUGGGAUCUGCAUCUAAAGUGUGUUAUAUAUCUUGGUUGUUUUGAGCCUUUUGUCUUAAAUUGUGUUGUUUUUGUUUGUGUUAUGUUAUGUUAUUGUUUUUCCCUUUCGUUUUUCUUUGUUGUUUUGUUUUCCAAAAAUAAAUAAAUAAAUAAUUUUUUUUUAAAAAAAACCAAAUUUCUUUAUGUUUUCAAACAUUGUGUCAUUUAUGCUUCUUGUUUAGUUGUGCCGUUAGGCUCUGCUUCAUGUUACUAAGACGCACACAUGAUAAACUGAAUCUGAGGAUUGCAGUGUCAUUAUCAAUCCUGUCUGUUGCAUACCUAUGGCACAUCAACAUGUAUGACACAAUGCAGAGCAUAAGACAUGCAACCGAAGAGGUAAGUAUCAUAUAUUGUUUAUAUGAUUGAACCUAAUUGUGUAUGUUGUUCUUGUAGGUGAUUAAUGGAUCUUGGCUAUAAAAAGAUGAGACUUGUUCACCAAUUGCACAUCUGGAAGCAGUGAGGUUAUUUCUCGUUGUCACUCAACAAGAUAAAGCCCCUUACAUGCAUCAUUGGUUAAUCUCUAUGUCUUUAUAUGUUGGAUUGCAAUAUGAUCUUUUCCUCUUAUAUAUGCUUCUGUAUGUUAUUUCCUUGCCCUUUGGAUUUCCUGACAAAAAGGGGGGGAGAUCACUUUGUGAAAUUAUGAAAAGGGGAGAGAUUGUGUUGUAGAAUUAAGGGGGAGUGAUGUUGUAAUUUUCUUUGAAUUACAAUUCUUCUCCCACAUGCUUCACUGGUUUUGUUGUUUCAUAAUGUGCAGGGAUUCAGAGCUUCUAAUUUAGAGUAGGAUAUCCCAUGCAAUUUCUUUUGAGUUGUAAUAGGUGUUUUGUCUAGGAAAUGCCAAAGGGGGAGAUUGUUAGUAUGCAAAUAGUGUUGUCAUUUCCUAGACUCUAGCAUAGGUUGAAAAUUAGUGUGUGAAGAAUUGUUACUGGACAUUUUGGCACAACUCAUUCAACCCCAUACAUCCGAGGCUUGACUUGACCGAUAUGAGAAACUUGAUUUCAGGUAAAUCAUGACAUAAUCAUGCAUUCAUUAUAGGAUUCCUAGUUUGAGUUUUUUUUUUCAAUCAAGUUUUUUUUAAUGUUAAUCUUAUUUUUAAUAGGAUUAAACUUUAUCUCUUAAGAUUACUUUUCUAGUUAAACUCUAUUUUGAUUUAAGUUAAAAUAUUAUAUUGAUACCUAAUUGGUCUCUUUGAAAAAGAUUGUUAUCUUGAAUAACAAUCCUUGCAUAAGUACGUUUUUCUGCUGUGCCCAUUUCGAAUGCCAUCAAAUAGUCAUAGUUGAAUAAGGUUUAGUGGGUGUUCAUAUUGCAUCAGGUUUAGGAGUUUUAAUUGAAGGGGGUUUGGCACUUGUGGGAUGUCAUCUGACUAGGCAUAGGAAACCUUGAAUAAAAGGAGGAUGCCUCUCCUCGGUUGUGUAGGUUUUUCAUAUUGGGUUGAGCAUAUAGAAUUCUUGAGCAAAAGCUGUUGUGCAUAUAUUUGAGAUAAAUCAUCAAGUGUUCCAUGUUUUACUUGGUGAUUUAUCAAACACUUUAAUCAUUCAUAUUGCAUUCAUAUGCAUGUCGGUGACUCAUACGGUUGAGGGCACCAAGACCGUGGUGGCGGUUUUCCUCCGGCGAGCUUGAAGCAAUCGUGGCCAGUAUUACGUUCAACAUAAGGAGUGUCGAAGAUCAUCCCGUGACAGAAGUUGAGUUACGAAGAAGUCGGUAAACUUUAUCUAGAAUGAGUCUAGGAUAAGUGUGUAAGUACUUCUUGUAAUCAUCGUUCUAUAGUGGAUUUGAGUUGGACUGAGGAGUCCCGUGGAUUUUCCCCAGAGGUGGGGUUUUACCACGUAAAAUAAUUCUCUGUGUGUUCUUUUAUUUUAAGCUGUGCACAUCUCAGGAUUGAUAACUAAUAUCAAUCCUGCUUCAAAGGUUGAUCAUUUUUUAUUGCAAAAAAUUCGAAUUAGCUUGUUUAACCUUCUCCAGGCAUAUAUAGAUAUCCUACAGGUAUUUUCAGUCACACUUAGCAAAUCAAACAUGGAAUACAUCUCCCAAAAUUUUAAAUAUAACUACAAUUUUAUAUCUAUAUAUUAUGUUUUAUUAUUAUACUUAGAAGAAAUCAGGGAUGUAUCUAAAUAUGGGCCCUAGAUUUUUGGAAGAUUUCUAAAAUAGAUAUGAUUUUUUCUAUUAAUAAAUCUCACACGUGUUGUGUCACAUUUCGGGAUUGACUCCGCCGUAACACGAUAUUAUCCACUUUGGGCCCCCUUCUCUGUCCGCAUGGAUUUGUUUCUGGGAGCUCACGAGCAACUUCCCAGUGAGUCACCCAUCCUGGGAUUGCUCUGGCUCCCAACUCGCUUAACUUCGGAGUUCCUACGACUCCGAAGCCAGUGAGUUCCCAAAAGGUCUCGUGCUAGAUGGAUGCGGGUGUGCACAUAUAAGGCACAUCACCCCCUCUCCGUUGGUUGAUGUGGGAUCUUACAAUCCACCCCCCUUAAGGGCCCGACGUCCUCGUUGGUACACUCGCACAUCACGGCAGAGUGGCUCUAAUACCAAAUAUGUCAAAACCCAAAUUAUAUUACCAAUACUUUAUGAAAAUAAAGAAUUCAACUAUUAAAUAUAACAUGCAUUUCAAUAACUAUUUAAUUCAUAUGCAUAAGAUUCUCAUUAUAAAACCAUGCUUAUCAGUUGAAAACAAAGUCCACUCACAAGUAGUUACAUCCCGUGAUCGGCUCCGCCGUAGCACGAUAUUGUCCGUUUUGGGCCCCCCUCUCUGCCCGCACGGAUUUGUUUCUGGGAGCUCACGAGCAACUUCCCAGUGGGUCACUCAUCCUGAAAUUGCUCUGGCCCCCAACUAGCUUAAUUUCGGAGUUCCUACGACUCCGAAGCCAGUGAGUUCCCAAAAAGCCUCGUGCUAGAUGGAUGCGGGUGUGCACAUAUAAGACACAUCACCUCCUCUCCGUUGGUUGAUGUGGGAUCUUACAUGUUGUGCAUGUGAUAUGACUCCAUAUAAUUUUCUGAUAAUAAUUAGGAAGAUGACCCUCUAUUUAUUCUUAAUGGCAAUAAUCCAAAACUAUCCACUUCAAUGUCCACAUAUAUACCAACAAAAAUGCUCAUGAUUAUGGACAUAUUUUCAUUGUGUUUAGCAUCGGGCAAGAUCCUUUGAGGGUCAUUGUUGACAAAGGAUUUGGUCUCUUUAUCCUAUCACAACUCUUACGUUGUACCAUUGUAGUUUGAUAACCAGAAUCUUCUACUUUUUAGGCCAACGUUAAAUAGCGGAAAUUAUUUAGCCAUCUAAUUGCUUCAAAUACAUGACAGAAAAAUUACAUUCAUGACCUAGCGACGUACAUAAAACAGACAUAAAACAGACUCUCUCAGAGCCAAUGGCUUUUUUUUCAGUACAUAGAAGCUUAGAAGCUACGUACAUGCCCGGCAUGCUUAUUAUAUUUUACAAUAACACCACCAUAAUUGCAAUAAUUCAACCUCUUAGUCAUUGUAAACCGAAACAUUUGGCCUUGGCUCAAAAUCUUCCUCAAAUGGCUGCUUAUCUUCUUUUGCUGCAAAUGACUGCUUCGCUUUAGGACCAGCAUUGUCUUUGGAAGAGAGCUCUGCUUUAGUUUCAUGAUCAUUGUAGGAUGUGGCACUGGGUCUGGGUUCAAAUUCCUCAACCUCAACCUCAACCUCAACCUCAACAAAAGGUUUUUUCACUUUUUCAUGGCAGUCGGCUUUCUCUUUUGGUGUUGAAUCAGAAAUAUCAACAAGGAGGCCUUCAAUUGCCUGUGGCAUAGGUUGCUCUUUCAUGACCUUUUUCCAGUAUUUCCCGACAUCUCUUCUUGAAUCUAUAGUUUUGGCAAACUGUUCCACAAGACAAAGAAAAGAAAAGCAAAUAAAAAGUUAUAGAAAUUUCUAAGGCAUUCUAAAUGAUCAUAUAUAUAUAUAUAUAUAUAUAUAUAUCAUGUUGAAAUCUAUAUUGUGUCAAUUUAGACCAUAUAUUUGACAAAAAAUUCACUUUAAAUUGACAAUUUAACAAUAUAAUAUGACAUACGAAGAGAAAUGUUCUCUUAUCCUGUGUGGCAAUAUGAGAUGUUUUUGCUAGAAUGUGAAUAUAAACCAUUAAUCAGGUUAAUUGUUACUAGAAUGUACGGCCUAGUUUACAGUAUGACAACAUAAAUUAGAGUCUAAUAAGAGAAUAUUUUUAUGCAAGCAUAAUAUAAGAUUUUUGUUUGCAUUUGUCUUGUCAGUCCUAUAGAUCUAGCAACUUCUUGGCUUUAAAAAUUGGUGACUUCAUAAGCAACAAUAGGAAGGAGUGUAUUAUACAAAUACUUACCAAAAGAAGAGAGAAAAGAGCCAAGAUAGCACAAAUGGACUUCAUGUCUACAAAUGCUAUGCAAAAGAGUUCUUUGUAGUUGUCUUUUUCAAGGAUAUGUAACCUCACUAUUUAUAGAUAAUUUACUAAAACGAAAGCAUCAAGGCAGGCAGGACCUAAUUAUGGCCCCCACAUAUAUAUAAAUGCUAAAACGAAAUAUGGCCCCCAUAUAUAUAUUUGAAAUUUUGAUAAUCACACUUGGAACAAAUCUGGGGCGGAUCUAAUUAUGGGCCUUAGAUCUUUGGAAGGUUUCUAAACAGAUAUGUUUUUCUAUGUAUCCAUGUAUGUGUGUUAUUUUUUUUAUUUAUAAUACAGAUAUUAGGAUGGGAGGGAAUUGAACUUACGACCUCAAAUGUAGGAAUAAAUGCUCUUAAUCAGAGGCGGAGCUAGAAUUAUAAAAUUAAGAGUGCCAAAAUAGAAAAUACAAAUAUAUAAAACAUCUAAGUAUUCAAUAGUUAUAUGUUUCGAGCUAAAGUUUUUAAUUUAGUCAUGUCUAAUUUGUUUUAGACGAAAUUUUAACUUAAAUUAUAAGUUUUUUAAAUUAUAAAUUGUUUAAUAAAAUUUUUAUAUGUUAUAUAUAAUAUAAUAGAGGAGAGAUCAAAAUCUAAAGAGACCAUAACCACUUCAAGCCUAAAAAUAACUCCAUCACUGCUCUUAACCACUUAAAAAUAAGUUUCACGCUUAAAUUUUUGCAUUGAUAUCACUCGACGUAUGUUCUUGGGCUCCAAUAAUUAGAUCAACGGGAUAACUAGGAAUAUAUUAUUCUCGAUUGAUUUUUAAUGGCAUUAAUCCAAAACAUCCACUUCAAUGUCCGCAUAGUUUUACCAUAAAAAAAUGUAAACAUGUUUAACACAUGCACGCAUGGAGUUCUAUUUGUAAAUAAUAUCUUGUUCUUUUUGGACGUCCAAUAAUGCAGUAAACAUUUUAUGGACGUAUAUUCAUUAUGACUAAUAUCGGACAAGAUCCUCUGCGGGUCGUUGUUGACAAAGGAUUUGGUCUACUAAUCCAAUCAUAAAUAACUCUUACGUUGUACGAUUACUCAUAUUAUAAUAUUUUAUGAGGUAAUUAUCUUUUUCUUUUAUUUUCUUUUAUGUCAUUCUUAUUCUACAAUGUAAUUGAUCAGUCCUGAUCUUAAUCUAAUGGUUCAAAAAAGUUUCUGAAAAGGAGUUCAAGAUUGAGUGAACCGAUGAUAAUCAGAAACACCUAUUUUUUAGACUGCUUUUUAAAAUUGAAAUCAGGUUCAAUGAAAGAAGAUAUUCACAACUGAAAUUUUAGGACGAAAUAUCUUUUUCUACUAAAACUGUAACAAAUUUUAGGACGGUCCAACCAUAAUGCAAAAAAUUUCAGUUAUGAAUGAACCCUAACCCGUCAACUUAUAUGUGUUGUCUAAUUUGCUUCCUAAAUUUUAAGCAAAUGAGAAAUUAUAACGAGAAAAAACCUCAAAUGAAAGAUGGUUGGACCAUUCUAAAAUUUGUUACAGUUUUUAUUAUUAUUUAAAAUUAGCAAUAAUUGUAUUUAAUAUUUGGGCACAAAGAUCAAAUAUCCAUAAAAGGUUAAUACAAAGAUGAAUGCACAAUAACCACAAAGGGUUAAUCUUGAUAUAGAAGGAUACAUCGGCGACAUUGCACGAUCUAUAUCUCCACUAAUAACCCUAAAGACCAAAUACAUUUUAACGUAACAAUCACAUGCCUUAGCAAAUCAAACAUGAAAUACGUCGUCCAAAAUUACAAAUACAACUACAAUUUUAUAUCUAUGAGCUCAAGUAAAGAUCGUCUACUAAUAUUUCACAGUUUGAUUAUUAUAUUUAGAAGAGAUCAAGGGCGCGUAUCUAAAUAUGGGCCCUAUAUUUUUGGAAGAUUUCUAAAAUAGAUAUGAUUUUUUUUCUAUUAAUAAAUCUAUGUGAUAUGAUUCCACGUAUGUUCUUGGGCUCCAAUAAUUUUCUGAUAAUAAUUAGGAAGAUGACUUAAUGACAAUAAUCCAAAACUAUCCACUUCAGUGUCCACAUAUGUUUCACACAUGCAGCAUGGGGCUCUACUUGUAAAUAAUUUCUUGUUUCUUUUGGGACCUCCAAUAAUGCAAUAAAAUAAGCAUUCUAUAUUUGGCAAGUGACUUGCAUGAUUAUGGACAUAUUUUCAUUGUGUUUAGCAUAGGGCAAGAUCCUUUGAGGGUCAUUGUUGACAAAGGAUUUGGUCUGUUUAUCCUAUCAUAACUCUUACGUUGUACCAUUGUAGUUUGAUAACUCGAAUCUUCUAUCUUUUAGACCAACUUUAAAACUCCAAAAAUAUAUACACAAAAACGGAAAUUAUUUAGUCAUAUAAUUGCUACCAAUACAUGACAACAAAAGUAGAGACUAUUGCCAAAACCACAUUCAUGGUGGCCAAAGCAUUCCUUUUAUUAACUUAGAAUUGAAAAGCUACGUACAUAAAACAGACAUAAAACAGAGACUUUCUCUUAGAGCCAAUGACUUUUUUUUUGAGUACAUAGAAGCUUAGAAGCUACGUACAAGCCCGGCAAGCUUAUUAUGUUUUACAAUAACACCACCAGAAUUGCAAUGAUUCAACCUCUUAGUCAUUGUAAACCGAAACAUUUUUUCAGUAUUUCCCGACAUCUCUUCUUGACUCUAUAGUUUUGGCAAACUGUUCCACAAGACAAAGAAAAUAAAAAGAAAUUUAUAAGGCAUUCUAAAUGAUCAUAUUGAAGUCUAUACUGUCAAUUUAGAUCACAUAUUUGACAAAAAUUCACUUCAAAUUGACAAUUUGACAAUAUAAUAUGACAUACGAAGAGAAAUGUUCUCUUACCCUGUGUGGCAAUGUAAGAUAUUUAUGUUGCUAGAAUACGAAUAUAAACAAUUAAUCAAGUUGAUUAUUUCUAGAAUGUGCGGUCUAAGUUUUCAGUAUGCCAACAUAAGUUAGAGUUUGAUAAGAGAAUAUUUUCAUGCAAAAUGUGAGAAAUUUAAUAUUAUUUUAUUUAAUAUUAAUUUUCUAUUUGAAUGGAAAUUAAUAAAAUUCAUUCGGUUAAAGAUUGGGUUAAAGACAUCUUCAAUUUGGGGGGUGACAACUCUUUAAACCAAGGGAUGCAUUGUUUGGGGUGACAACUCUUCAGACUAGGGGAUGCAUUGUUUGCCUUUUUUAGAUUGAGAUACCUUUUUAGAAAGGGUAUUUCAUAAUCUAUAAAUAGAGCAAUCCUCCUGCAGUUUUAUUCAUUCAAUUAAUUCUCUACAUAUAGACGUCCAUAUAUAGAGAGUAUUAGAGUUUUCAUAAAGAGAGGUUCCUGCAUAAUUUUGGUUCAAAGUUCCUUGUGAAUUGCAGUGCUUCUUUCAUAAGCAGGGGAAUUGUUGUAUCUUGGGAAGCGAACACUAGUGAACCAUAAGCACCAAUGUGGGGCGUAAUUCGUCUUAAGAUUAGAGUGUCCAACACUUACCUCGACUCAAUUAAAGUUCAUCUAAAUUGCAUUCUCCUUUUAUAAAAAUCUGUUUAGUUUGCAGUAAUUAUUUAUUUAUUUUAUAGCAAUUUAAGACUCUUCUUUCCAACAAUCUUAAGACGAAUUACUAUCUGUGUUAAUUGCUAUAUAUAUUAGUCUCUGUUUAUGCAUUUAGAUGAAAAGGUGCAAUACAGUUUAAUUUUGAUACGUGUGACAGCCUUAUUGCAUUACUGACUUGAGCUUUUAAAAUACGGUUUUUUGUCUGUAUCUCAAGUGCUUACUGCAUUGAUGACUUGAGUUUUAAUUAGUUGAUUAUUCUAUUGAGUUGAUUUCCUUCAAUUAACAUUGAGGUUUGAAUACUGGUGCAAACGGCAAACUUUUUUAUUUAUUUAUUUAAUUGAUUUCCUUUGUUAUUUUUUUUUCUUUUGUUUUAUACAAUUUAAGGUUGCAGAGAUCAAACACUAUUAGGUUUUUUGUUUGUUAUCAUAAUUGGGAUCCACAAUAUUUUAAAACACACUAAGUCUGAUUGUUGUUAGACAAGGAUACUUACAGUAGAAUUUUCAUUCCCAGUGGUUUGCAUCGUUGAUUAUUUAUUUUUCUGUUUAUUAAUUGAAAUUAUACUUAUUUGCAUACAAUAAUUUACUUUUGGUUUGUAGCAUUUUGCAUAAUUGUCAAAUUGCAUUUGCUAUAAUUUUUAUAGGAAUUGUAUUAUUACUUUCUGUUUGUGGUUUGUUGUAAAGCACUGCUGCAAGUCAUUAUUUAUUUAUUUAAAGACUGUCAAAUAUUUAUUUUUUGACAUUGAGAUUGUUCAUUCAAUUAAGGAAAAUGUCGAAUGAGAUAUAGAAAGUGGGUCCUUCUGUAAAGACAAGUGCACCUGCUGUUGUGUUGCCUUCAUCUCAUAAUCAUGCAGAGAAGCCUGAAAAAUUUAAUGGGAUAGAUUUUAAGAGAUGGCAACAAAAGAUGUUGUUCUACAUCACCACAUUGAAUUUGGCUCAUAUCUUGAAAGCAGAUCCUCUAGCACCUGGUGAUACAACAGAAACAGUGGCUGCUUCUGAUGCAUGGAACCAAUCCGACUUCCUUUGCAUGAACUACAAUGGUUUAAGUGAUGCACUAUACAAUGUGUAUAGUCCAAUUCAGACCGUCAAGGCUUUAUGGGACUAGACAAGAAAUAUCGGACCGAAGAUGCAGGAAUGAAGAAAUUUAUUGUCGGUCGAUUUCUUGACUACAAGAUGGUAGACUCCAAGAUUGUCAUAAGUCAAGUCCAAGAACUCCAACUCAUUCUGCAUGAGAUACAUGCAGAAAAGAUGGAAUUGAGUGAGUCUUUCCAAGUGGCUGCUGUCAUUGAAAAAUUACCACCCUCUUGGAAGGAUUUCAAAAACUACCUUAAGCAUAAUAAGGCUAAGGAUCGAAGAGGACAAUCGCCGUGCUGACAAAAAGUCUGGAUCCAUAAUGGAAGCUAAGGCUAACAUAGUGGAAAAAGAGUCAAGAAACAACAAGAAGAGGAAGCACUCUGGAGAAGGCUCAAGUCAAGGGAACUCCAAGAAGUCCAAGGAGUUUAAGGGAAAGUGUUUCAAUUGCAACAAGCAAGGGCAUCGAGCUGUGGAUUACCGAAGUAGAAAUGGACAAGGCAACCAAAAGAAAGGGCAAGACUGAGGUAUACAUGACUGAAGAAGACAAGCUUUCAACUGAUUUGUCAUAUAUUAAUCUUUCUGCAGUCGUGUCUGAAGUGAACUUGGUGGGCAACACCAAGGAAUGAUGGGUAGAUAUUGGAGCUACACACCACAUAUGUUCUGAAAAGAAGAUGUCUUCCACAUAUGAAGCAAAUGAUCAAGGAGAGCCUUUAUUCAUGGGAAACUCCUCCACCUCCAAAAUCCAUGGUCAAGGGAAAAUAGUUCUAAAAAUGACAUCUGGAAAGGAAGACACUCUAAAUAAUGCACUUCACGUCCUUGAGAUCCGGAAGAACAUAGUUUAUGGAUCACUGCUUAGCAAGAAUGGGUUCAAGUUAGUCUCUGAGUCUGAUAAGUUUGUAUUUACUAAGAAUGGAAUGUAUGUGGGGAAAGGGUACCUUACUGAUGGACUCUUCAAGAUGAAUGUAAUGGCUAUUGUACACAAAGUUAAUAAUAAAGUUAGUUCUACGUAUAUGCUCUGAUUUAUGGCAUGGAAGAUUAGGGCAUGUUAAUUAUGACAAAUUGCGUCAAUUAAUUAACAUGGAACUAAUACCUAAGUUUCAUAUUGAUUUCAUAAUAAACGUGAAACCAGCUGUGUUGAAGCAAAACUAACUAGAUCAUCAUUCCAGUCUAUAAAAAGAAGUACUGAACCUCUAGAAUUAAUUCAUAGUGAUAUUUGUGAUUUGAAAUUUGUACAAACUAGAGGUGGUAAAAAGUAUUUUAUUACUUUUACAAGAUAUUGUCAAGUAUAUUUGCUAAGAAGCAAAGAUGAGGUGUAACACCCCGACUCCAAAUUUAAUUCCUUAUUUAAAUUAUCAAAGUGAAAUUAUGAAUUUACCCUUGGGGGUAGGGGCAUUUUAGUCAUUUUCUCAUUCGGAAAGAGUUUGGGGCAACGACUGGUAUUUUUGGGUAGGUCGUAUUGAGACGAAUUCGUAGACACGUGGUAGUAGGGGUGGGCACGGUUCGGUUUGGACCGGUUUUUGUCUAAAAUUAGAACCGAUCCGGUACUAUUCAUCCGGUUUGGUUCGGUUCGGUUUUAAUUAAAAAAAUUUCAAAAACUGUCCGGUUCGGUUUGAACCGGUUUCGGUCCGGUUCCGGUUCCGGUUCGGUUUUGAACCGGAUUAUAAAAAUUAUUUUUUUAAAUUAUUUUUUAAUACAAUUCUCAACUGAAAUAUUAUUUUUUUACUUGAAAAUUAACAAAUUACUCAAUUUCAUAUAAAAAAUAAAUAUUAAAGUGAGAAAAGAGAGAUAUUUUGACAUUGAACUUGGAUAAAUAUUAGGUUUUUUUUAGUGAAAUUAAAAAUAUAGCAUUAAAUAUAAAUAUAUAUUGAAAUUAUAUUUUUUUUUAGUUUCACCGGUUCGGUUCGGCCCGGUUCGGUUUUUGAAGACAUGGAACCGGAUCCGGAACCGGUCCAAACCGGUCCGGUUCGGUUUUUGACUUUUUGGUCAACUCGGUUUUUUUCCGGUUUGGUUCGGUACGGUUCGGCUCGGAUUUCCGGUUCGCCGGUUUGAGUGCCCACCCCUACGUGGUAGGCUUGAAUCGGAAUUGUAACAAAAACGUUACGAGGAAAACAUCAUCAGUGGCAAACUUGUAAAUAUUUCAAAAAGUUUGGUAAAAAUCAGAUUUUUUCACCUCAGCUCUCUCUCCCCGACGUUCUCUCUCUCUCUCUCUCUCUCUUCGAAUCUCUUAGUUCCAGCCACGGCGAGGGUCGGCAACUGUUCUGAUCGACUCCUCUCGAACCACCAAUUUUUCCCGUCGAAAAACUCGAGUAUUGCCGACAAUAUCGACUGGUUUUUCUCUGAUUUUUCCCGUCAGUGCGCCGUCGCCUCCGCCGCCCGAUUCCGGUGAAAUAGGUGAGGGUUCUUCCUCUUUUUAUGUGUUCUAGUUGUUUGUUGCAUAGGUUUGGAUCGAUUUGCUACUUAGGAUACCGAUUUGAAAACCUAGGUUUUGGCUGGAUUUCAAAGUGAAAUUCCAGCCAGUUGCCGUCCGAUUUAGACCUCCUCGUAGUUGAAUAAAGUGAUCCUGACUUCGAUUAGUAUCUAGGGUAGGAAGGAGGAGCGGUGGUGUGGAGAAUUUCCGUCGCCGAAAAUUUCUCUACACACCCACGCGCUGCUGGCGUGGGUGGCGGAGCGUGGGCAAGGGUGGAGAAGCUACAUUUUGUCCUGAUGAGAUCCUCAGGUUAAAGACAUCUUCAAUUGGAGGGUGACAACUCUUCAAACCAAGGGAUGCAUUGUUUGGGGUGACAACUCUUCAGACCAAAGGAUGCAUUGUUUGCCUUUUCAAAUUGAGAUACCUUUUUAGAAAGGGUAUUUCAUAAUCUAUAAAUAGAGCAAUCCUCCUACAGUUUUAUUCAUUCAAUUAAUUCUCUACAUACAAACUUCCAUAUAUAGAGAGUAUUAGAGUUUUCAUAAAGAGAGGUUCCUGCAUAAUUUUGGUUCAAAGUUCCUUGUGAAUUGCAGUGUUUUUUUCAUAAGUAGGGGAGUCGUUGUAUCCUGGGAGGCGAACGCUAGUGAACCAUAAGCACCAGUGUGGGAUGUAAUUCGUCCUAAGGUCAGAGUGUCCAACACUUGCCUCGACUCAAUUAAGGUUCUUCUAAAUUCCAUUAUCCUUCUGUAAAAAUCUAUUUAGUUUGCAGUAAUUAUUUAUUUAUUUUAUAGCAAUUUAGCACUCUUCUUUCCAACACAUAAUAUAUAAGAUUUUUGGUUGUAUUUGUCUUGUCAGUCCUAUAUAUCUAGCAACUUCUUGGCUUUAAAAAUUGGUGACUUCAUAAGCAACAAUAGGAAGAAAGGGUAUUAUUAUGCAAAUACUUACCAAAAUAAGAGAGAAAAUUGCUAAGAUAGCACAAAGGGACUUCAUGUCUACAAAUACCAUACAAAAGAGUUCUUUGUAGUUGUACUUUUGGAUAUGUAACCUCACUACUUCUAGAUAAUUUACUACAACGAAAGCAUCAAGGCAGGCAGGACCCAAUUAUGGGCCCUUUAUUAUUAUUAUUUUUUUGGGUGAAAUUUUGAUAAUAAUACUUGGAACAAAUCUGGGGAGGAUCUAAUUAUGGGCCCUAUAUGUUUGGAAGGUUUCUAAAUAGAUACGUUUUUCUAUGUAGCCCAUGUUUGUGUUAUUUAUUUAUUUAAAAUACAACUUAGGAUAGGAGAGAAUUAAACUUAGGAUCUCGAAUGUAGUUGGGUGUUUGGUUUUUAGAUGAGGCACUUAGUUGUCUUGGUUCCAUUUUGAUAGAUGAUUCUUUAGGAGUUGGUCACCCUUGUUUGGUUCGAGUUGUGUAGUUGUUGGUUAGGGUUUUGGGGUUCUUUCCUCCCUGUUUCAUCCAAAAAAAAAAAAAAAAAAAAAACUUAGGAUCUCAAAUGUAGAAGUAAAUACUCUUAAAUUACUUAAGCUACAAGCAAUGAUAAGUCUCACCCAUAAAUUUGUGCAUAUGAUAUGACUGGACAUAUGUUCUUAGGGUCCAAUAAUUAGAUCAACGAGGCGUUUCCUUUUUUUUUUUUUUUUUUUUGAGGAACAAAAUUUCAUUCAAUACUCCAAAGAGAGUACAUCAGCUUCAAGCACAGGGAGCAACCAUCUUGGUGCUUCCUCAAUCCAGGUAACAAAUUCGUUGCAAUGAAAUGCAAACUGAGCUAAAGUGUGUGCCACUUUAUUACCGCAUCUUGGAGUCCAUUGACAUACGACUGCUCUAAAAUUAUGAAGUAGAUAGUUCACCUCCUCAAUCAAAAGACCAUCUAUUCCAUUGCACUCCACUGUUGAAAGAAUACUAUUAAUGCAAUCUUGUGCGUCCAUUUCUAGAAUAGCAGCAGUAAAGUCCAUAUCAAUAGCAAAACGCAGACCCUCUAUUGUAGCCAUAAGCUCCGUUUGCCUAGCCCCAUAACUGGCUUGAAUUCGCCUAACACAUGCCGCCAUGAACUCCCCAUUCGCGUUUCUGACGACCACCCCAACCCCUCGGACGGAGUCUCCAGAUUUGACUGCCCCAUCUAAAUUUAUUUUGUAAAUACCUGCUGGUGGAGGCCUCCAGCCGUGCAAAGGAGCUUGAGGGCUAGACUGACGACCAUGGAUUGUGUGAGAGAGGUUGUUUGCGUCAGAGAACUCUUGUGCAAGUUUAGUCAUUCGAUGCAACAACUGUGUUGCAGUUCCAGAUAAUUAGGAUUAUUAUUCUCGAUCGAUUCUUAAUGGCAUUAUCAUUAAUCCAAAACAUCCAUUUCAAUGUCCACAUAGCUUUACCAUAAAAAAUGUAAACAUGUUUAACACAUGCAUGCAUGGAGUUCUACUUGUAAAUAAUUUCUUGUUCUUUUUGGACGUCCAAUAAUGCAAUAAGCAUUUUAUAUGUGACAUGAUUAUGGACAUAUAUUCAUUAUGACUAAUAUCGGACAGGAUCCUCUGCGGGUCGUUGUUGACAAAGGAUUUGGCCUACUAAUCCAAUCAUAAAUAACUCUUACUUUGUAUGAUUAUUCAUAUUAUAAUAUUUUAUGAGGUAAUUAUCUUUUUCUUUUAUUUCUUUUAUAUCGUUCUUAUUCUACAAUGUAAUUUGAUAAUCGGAAACGCCUUCUUUAAAAAUGAAAUCUUGAUCAAUGAAAGAAGAUAUUCACAAUUGAAAUUUUAGGACGAAAUAUCUUUUUCUACUAUAACUGUAAAAAUAAAAAAUAAAAAAAUAAAAAAAUUAGCACAGUCCAACUAUAAUACAAAAAAUUUCAGUUAUGAAUGACCCUCAACCCAUCAACUUAUAUGUGCUGUCUGAUUUAUUUCCUAAAUUUUAAGCAAAUGAGAAAUUAUAACAUCCUCAAAUGAAAAUAUGAUGGUUGGACCAUCCUAAAAUUUGUUGCAAUUUUUAUUAUUAUUUAAAAUUAGUGAUAAUUGUAUUCAAUAUUUGAGCACAAAGACCAAAUACCCGUAAAGGGUUAUACAAAAAUAGAUGUACAGUAACCACAAAAGAUUAAUCUAGAUAUAAGAGGAUACACCGACGACAUCGCAUGAUUUGUAUCUACACUAGUAGUCCUAACAACCAAAUACAUUUUAACGUAACAAUCACACACCUUAGCAAAUCAAACAUGAAAUACAUCGCCCCAAAAUUAUAAAUAUAACUACAAUUUUAUAUCUAUGAGCUCAAGUAAAGAUCGUCCACUAAUAUUUCACAGUUUGAUUAUUUUACUUAGAAGAAAUCAGGGGUGUAUGUAAAUAUGGGCCAUAGACUUUUGGAAUAAAAUAGAUAUGAUUUUUUCUAUUAAUAAAUCUCAAACGUAUUAUGCAUGUGAGAUGACUCCAUAUAUGCUCUUGGGCUCCAAUAAUUUUCUGAUAAUAAUUAGGAAGAUGACCCUCUAUUUAUUCUUAAUGGCAAUAAUCCAAAACUAUCCAUUUCAAUGUCCACGUAUGUUUCACACAUGCAGCAUGGGGCUCUACUUGUAAAUAAUUUCUUGUUUCUUUUGGGACCUCCAAUAAUGCAAUAAAAUAAGCAUUCUAUAUUUGGCAAGUGACUUGUAUGAUUAUGGACAUAUUUUCAUUGUGUUUAGCAUCGGGCAAGAUCCUUUGAGGGCCAUUGUUGACAAAGGAUUUGGUCUGUUUAUCCUAUCAUAACUCUUACGUUAAAACUCCAAAAAUAUAAACGAAAGCGGAAAUUAUUUAGUCAUCUAAUUGCUUCAAAUACAUGACAACAAAAUUACAUUCAUGACCUAGCGACAUACAUAAAACAGACAUAAAACGGAGACUUUCUCUCAGAGCCAAUGGCUUUUUUUUUAGUACAUAGUAGCUUAGAAGCUACGUACAAGCCCCGCAAGCUUAUUAUAUUUUACAAUACCACCACCAGAAUUGCAAUAAUUCAACCUCUUAGUCUUUGUAAACCGAAACAUUUGGCCUUGGCUCAAAAUCUUCCUCAAAUGGCUGCUUAUCUUCUUUUGCUGCAAAUGACUGCUUGGCUUUAGGACCAGCAUUGUCUUUGGAAGAGAGCUCUGCUUUAGUUUCAUCAUCAUUGUAGGAUGAGACAUUGGGUCUGGGUUCAAAUUCCUCAACCUCAACCUCAACCUCAACAAAAGGUUUUUUCACUUUUUCAUGGCAAUCGGCUUUCUCCUUUGGUGUUGAAUCAGAAAUAUCAAUAAGGAGGCCUUCAAUUGCCUGUGGCAUAGGUUGCUCUUUCAUGACAUUUUUCCAGUAUUUCCCGACAUCUCUUCUUGAAUCUAUAGUUUUG